rnacentral:lncRNA from 1 species
AUCUAACCUUGUUGAGAAGAGUUACAUGGUACUAAUCGUGUUGAUGAAAACUAACAGAUAUUUUAUAAAAUUAAUUGAGAUAUGUACAAAUUGAAUCGAACCCCAGAAUAAUUUUUUUUUUUUAAAAAGCCAGGUGUCAUUAUCAUUUGAAGGAGUAAAUGUAAGAAAUAGACACUUUUUUCAAUAUCAACUCCAUUAGUUCCAACAACUAAAAAAGGAGUUUAUUUUGUUAGUUACUUUAAGAUGGUGCACCUAGGAUUGAUCUCAUUGAACAUCAUUUUGACAAAAAAACAUAGUCUUUUACAUCAUCUUUUGAUCCAUUUUUUUUUUCAAAAGUAGAUUCAAGAAAGUUCUCAUGAAUAUGACUUGUCCCCCCAUAUUUUUAAAAUUUUUAAUACCCAAAAGAACUUUUUAUUUAAUUUAUUUGUCUAUUUGUAUAUGAGGAAUAAUGAAAAAGAAUAAAGGAAACUAUGUAAGACAUGCAUGUGACCUAUGCAUAUCGCAAUUUUUAUUUAUAAUAAACCCUUUUUUUUAAUUUUCAAGAACUCUAGCAUGCUAGAUUAAAAAAAAUAAUUAUUUUGCGUCACUUGACAUUUGAUACGUGCUUAUGAUCUGAUUAAUUUGGGUUCAAAUCAUAAGUUCAAAUAUUUAUAUUGAUUUAAAGAAAAAACGUGAAUAGUGAUUAACAAUUGUUUACAUAAAAAAAAAGUUUGAGUUUGUGAAAAAUAGGAUCGUAUUUGAAUUUCUAACAAGUGAGACUUCAUGACAAUAUCGUGAAAAGCCAAAAAAGUUUGUCUUCACAUUAAGCAUAGGAUAUAUUUAUCUAAAUAUUAUUUCCCUACUAAAAACAAUUAAUUUUCAAACUUCUCAAUAUGUGGCUAUUUUUGCAAUGAGUACAAGCUCUAAAAUGGCUAUUCCUUAAAACUUUGUAGCUCAGCCCAAUUUGGACAUUGGGCCGAAGGCAGAAGUUGUAUCCAAGAACGAAAAUAGGGAAACUUACAUAAAUAUAUUGUAAUUUAUCAUUGAAAAAAUUACAUAAAUUAAUACAUUUUAAAAAAUAAUUAUUGAUUUUAGCGAUACUUUUUGUUUAUUACCAUUUAUAGCAAUGCUUUGUUAAAUCUAUCAUAUGUAUUAAAAGUGAAUUAUGUAUGCAAUAUAUAUGAAUUAUAAUUGCUUUUUGAAAUAUAUCAUGUUUGUUUGGUAAAAAACUGUCACAUUGUAUUAUAAGUGUAUUAAAAUGUGUGAUAAAUGUAUUAUUCAUCAUUAAAAUUUGUAUUAUAUGUGAAUAAUAAAUUGUUCUUUUUAAUAUGUAUUAAACUUGUAUUAUAAAUGAAUUAAAAGUGAUCAAGUGAAAAAAAAAUAUUAUUGCUAUAAAUGGUAAAUAUUUUUUUAUUAUAGUAUAUUUAUGUAAGUUUCCCUUUAUCAUUUAUACAAUAACAUUUUUUUCACUUGAUCACUUUUAAUUCAUUUAUAACACAAGUUUAAUACAUAUUAUAAAAAAACAAUUUAUUAUUCACAUAUAAUAUAAAUUUUAAUAAUUGAUACUACAUUUAUCACAUAUUUUAAUACACUUAUGAUACAAUAUGUCAAAAUUUUCCCAAAUAAACAUAAUAUAUUUCAAAAAAAAAUUAUAAUUCAUAUAUAUUGCGUAUAAAAUUCACUUUUAAUUCAUAUUACAUACUUAACAUAAUGCUGCUAUAAAUGGUAAUAUAUAAAAAGUAUCGCUAAAAUCAGUAAUUAUUUAUUAAAAUGAAAAUAUGUCAAAAAGGAUACCAUUUGGCUUUUAUUCUAUUUUGAUUUUUUUUUAUAAAAAAUAUUUUAAAAAGGAAAAAAGAUUUAGUUGAAUUAUAUAUUGACGUUGUGUUUAAAUAUAAAGUUGGUCAAAUAUACUAUGACUUCAUCGUCGUUCUAUAUAAAAUAUGAUCAAUUGAGGAUUCAUAUCAAUCGAUCUCAACUUAUUUGGAACGAAAAGGUAAUUAUUGUCAUUAUUCAGGAUAAUUUAAUCUUCUAAGUAAAUCUGUUUUUAUGCAUUAUAAAACAAGAUUUGAUAUAUGCAAAAGCUACUCAUGAAAUGCCCACAACUAUUUUAUAACAGCAAUAAUAUUAAAUCAAAUGUUCUAUUAUAAGUGGGUUAGAAAUGAAUAAAGAUGUAUACAUAUUACAAUUUCGAUAGACCAUCAGGUCAAAAAGUAUUGUACACACAAAACAUCAAAUGGUAUUCUAAAAUUUGAAGAAAAAAAAAGGGUUUUAGAAAGAAAUAGUGCGAAAAAUUAUAUCACAAAAAUAUUCAUGGAUUAACAUAUAUGAAAAUUAAGAAAAUCGCUUGAUUCCUGUAAAUUGUCCCCUAAAUGACCAAAGCUGACUCUAAAAAUGGUGAGACAGUACAUACUGCUCCACAAACUCUCUACGGAGGGUUCCGUAAAUAUUUCGCAAAGAGAUCACCCAAAAGUCAUAUCACCAAAAAAUUCACGAGUUAAUGCAUAAGAAAAAUACAAUAAUGAGAAAAUAACAUAAUUCCUAUAAAUUAGCUCAUAAAUGCCCCAAAAUGAACUAUGAAAAUGAUGAGACUGUACAUAAUGCUCCUCCAAUUUCCUAUGGAGGGUUCCAUAUACAUAUUAGAAAGAACUUAUCUGGAAGCCUUAUCACCAAAAUAUUUAUGGGUUAACUCAUACGAAAAUUGAGAAAAAAUUCUUAUAAAUUGUCCCCUAAAUGUUCAAAAACUGACUCUAAAAAUGGUGAGACCAUACUUAAUGCUCCCCUAACUCCCUACAGAGGGUUUUGUAAAUAUUUAACAAAGAAAUCGUCUAUAAGUAAUAUCAACAAAUUAUUCAUGACCUAAUGCAAAUGAAAAAAAACAACUCCUCACGGAGGUUUUGUAACAGUUUUGAAGACAUUAUUCAAAAGUUGUAUCAUUAAAAUAUUUAUGGACUAACAACAUACACGAUAAACUAAGAAAAUCGCAUGAUUUCUAUAAAUUAGCCCCUAAAUGACCAAAAUAGACUUUGAAAAUGGUGAGACUGUACGUAAUACUCCCCCAACUCCUUAUGGAGGGUUACAAAAAGUUAUCAAAAGGAAUCAUCUAAAAUUCAUAUCACCAAAAUAUUGAUGAGCUAACAUACAUGAAAAUUGAGAAAAUAGCCUAAAUUCAUGUAAAUUGUUCUCUAAAUAUCAAAAAAUGACUCUAAAAAUUGUGAGACAGUAUGUACUGCACCCCCCAACUCCCUACGUAGAGUUUCGUAAAUAUUUCACAAAAAAAUCGUCUAAAAGUCAUAUUAUCAAAUAUUCAUGGGCUAACUCACCCGAAAAAAAAUAAGAAAAUCGCAUAAUUUCCUAUAAAUUAGCACAUAAACGCCUCAAAAUAGACUAUGAAAAUGAUGAGAUUAUACGUAGUGCUCCCCCUACUUCCCCUUGAGGUUUCAAAAAGAAAUUGUUUGUAAAUCGUAUCACCAAAAUUUUCAUGGGCUUAUUCCUGUAAAUUAGCCCCUAAAUGUUGACAAUAGACUUUGAAAAUUGUGAGACAAUACGUAAUUCUCUCCCAACACUCUAUAGAAGGUUUCGUAAAGGUUUCAUAAAGAAAUCAUUCAGAAGGCAUAUCACCAAAAUAUUCAUGGGCUAACACACACGAAAAAAUUAAGAAAGUCACCUAAUUUUUGUAAAUUGUCUCUUAAAUGUCUAAAACUGACUCAAAAUAGUAAGAUAGAACGUACUACUCCCUAACUCCCUACGGAGGUUCCAUAGAUAUUUCGCAAAGAAAAUAUCCAAAAGGCAUAUAACAAGAAUAUUCAUUGGAUAAUACAUUAAAAAUAUAUAUGAGAAAAUCACACAAAAGGACUAUGAAAAUGGUGAGACUAUUUAUAGUUUUCCCCCAACUCCUCACGGAGGAUUCUGUAGAAGUUUUGCAAAAAAAUCGUUUGGAAGUCAUUUUACAAAAAUAUUCAUGGCUUAAAACACAAAAAUUAAGAAAACGCUUAAUUCCUAUUAAUUGGACCUUAUAUGUCCAAAAUAAACUUUCAAAAUGGUGAGAGAGUACGUAAUUAUUUCACAACUCCUUAAGGAAGGUUUCGUAAAAGUUUCACAAGAAAUCAUCUGAAGUCGUAUAACCAAAAUAUUAAUGGUAUAUACAAACGAAAAAUUGAUAUAAUUAGGUUAACACAUGAAAAACUGAGAAAAUUACCUAUUUGUAAAUUGUCCCUUAAAUUUUCAAAAUUGACUCUAAAAUGGUGAGAUAGUACAUACUGCUCCCCCAACUCCCUACGGAAGGUUCCGUAAAUAUUUCACAAAGAAACCAUUCAAAAGUCAUAUCACCAGUAUUCAUAGGCAAAAGCACACGAAAAAUAAAUAUAAAAAAAUCACGUAAUUCCUAUAAAUUAGCCCAUAAAUGCCCCAAUAUAGAUUACGAAAAUAGUGAGACUAUUUGUAGUUCUCCCUAACUCCUCAUGGAAGGAUCUGCAAAUGUUUCGCAAAGAAAUUGUUUGGAAGCCGUAUCACUAAAAUUUUCAUGGGCUAAUUCACACAAAAAUACUAAGAAAAUCACCAAAUCCUAUACAUUGGCCCUUAAAUGGCCGAAAUAGAUUUUGUAGAUGGUGAAAUUGUACGUAUUAUACCCCUAUCUCCAUACAGAGGGUUCCAUAAAGGUUUCACAAAGAAAUUAUUUGUGAUUCAUAUUGCCAAAAUAUUAAUGGGCUAACACACGCGAUACUAAGAACAUAGAUUAAUUCCUAUAAAUUGGUCUUACAUGUCCAAAAUAGACCGUACGUAAUGCUACCCCAACUCCCUACAAAUGAUUUCGUAAAUGUUUGACAAAGAAAUGAUCCAGAAACCGUAUCACCAAAAUAUUCAUAAGCUAACACACAUGAAAGAUGGAGAAAAUCAACUACUUCAUGUAAAUUGUCCCCUAAAUGCCUAAAACUGACUCUAAAAAUGGUGAGACAGUACAUGUUGCUCACCCAACUACCUACAGAAGUUUUCUGUAAAUAUUUUGCAACGAAAACGUUCAGAAGUCAUAUUACAAAAAUAUUCAUAGGCACACGAAAAUUGAUAAAAUAUGCGUUUAACUGCUUUGGGACUCGCUUGAACUUGAAUGGCGCUCGUUUUCCCGCGGGACGAGCUGGGUCCAUUGCUAACGUCUUAAUAGAAAACCAUGAGAAAUAUGGGCUAUUUUAUUUCGAGAAUUACGCAUCACAAAAAAUCCAUGGACUGUAGCACACGAAAAUCAGUAAGAUAUGCGUUUACAUUCUUUGGGCUCGUUUGAACUUGAAAAUGCACCUUAUUUCCCCACAAAACAAGCCGAUUUCAUUGCUAAUGUCUUAACGGACGUCCAUGAAAAACUUUGGCCAUUUCGUUUUGAGAAUUUUGGAUCAAAAAAAUUCAUGGACAAUGUAAUAGCACAGGAAAAUUGGCAAAAUCUGCAUUUACCUACUUUGGGACUCGUUUGAACUUGAAAAUGCGUCUGUUUUUUCCGCGGGACAAAUUGGGUCAAUUGCUAAGUCUGAAAGGACGUCCAUGAAAAAUUUCACCCAUAUCAUUUUUGGUGAUUCUGGAUCACAAAAAAUUCAUGGACUAUAGCACACACAAAUUGAUAAAAUCUGCAUUUACCUUCUUUUGUGUCUGAACUUGAAAAUGCACCCUUUUUCCUUGCGGGACGAACUAUGCACAUUGCUUUCGUCUUAAUAGACCUCCGUGAAAAUUUUUGGCCAUUUUAUUAUGAGAAUUUCGAAUCACAAAAAAAUUCAUGGGCUAUAGCGCAUGAAAAUCGACAAAAAUUACAUGUACCUGCUUUAGGGCUCUUUUGGACUUGAAAAUGCAUCUAUUUUUCCCUGUGGGACGAACUGGGUCCAUUGAUAAUUUUUUAAUGGACAUCAUGAAAAAUUUCGGUCAUUUUGCUUCGAAAAAUCCGCAUCACAAAAAAUCCAUGGACUAUAACACAUGAUAAUCGGUAAAAUUUGUGUUUAUCUAUUUUGGGACUCGUUUGAACUUGAAAAUGUUCAUGUUUUAUCCGCGGGACGAACUGAGUCCAUUUUUAACGUCUUAACGGAUGUCCAUGAAAAUAUUUGACCUUUUUGUUUACGAAAUUCCAGAUCACAAAAAAUUAAUGAACUAUAGCACAUAAAAAUAGAUAAAAUCUGCGUUUACUUGUUUUAGGGCUUGUUUGAACUUGAAAAUCCGUUUGUUUUUCACAUGAAACGAAUUGUGUCCAUUGCUAACGUCUUAAAGGACGUCCAUAAAAAAUUUUGGCCAUUUCGUUUUGAAAAUUCUGAAUCACAAAAAAUUCAUGGACUAUAGCACACGAAAAUCGAUAAAAUCUACACUACCUACUUUGAGACUCAUUUGAACUUGAAAAUACGCUCGUUUUCCCCGCGAGACGAACCACAUACAUUGCUAACCUCUUAACAGAUCUCCAUGAAAAAAUUUAGUCAUUUUGUUUCGAAAAUUCUGGAUCACAAAUAAUUAUGGCACACGAAAAUUGAUGAAAUUUUCAUUUUCCUGAUUUGGGACUCGUUUGAACUUGAAAAUACACAUGUUUUUUCCUUAUGACGAACUGAGUUCAUUGCUAACGUUUUAACGGACGUCCAUGAAAAUUUUUGGCCUUUUUAUUUAGAAAAUUCCAGAUCACAAAAUUCAUGAACUAGCACACGAAAAUUGAUAAAAAAAUUCUUUAUUUUUUUGGGCUCGUUUGAACUUGAAAAUACGUUUGUUUUUCACGCAAAACAAAUUGGGUCCAUUGCUAAUGUUUUUAACGGACGUCCAUGAAAAUUUUUGGCCAUUUCGUUUCAGGAAUUUUGAAUCACAAAAAAUUCAUUGACUAUAACACACGAAAAUUGAUAAAAUUUGCGUUACUUGCUUUAGAGCUUGUUUAAACUUGAAAAUGCGUCUGUUUUUCUUGCGAAAUUAACUGCGUAUAUUGUUGACGUCUUAACGGACCUCCAAGAAAACUUUCGGUCAAUUCUUUUUAGUCACAAAAAAUUUAUGGACUAUAGCACACAAAAAUUGAUAAAAUUUGUGUUAACCUGCUUUGGGCCUCGUUUAAACUUGAAAAUGCGUCUGAUUUCUCCCCGGUACAAACUGGGUCCAUUGCUAAUGUCUUAACGAACGUCUGUGAAAAUUUUUGGUCAUUUCAUUUCGUGAAUUCCGCAUCACAAAAAAUUCAUGGACUAGAGCAUACAAAAAUUAGCAAAAUCUAUGUUUACUAGUUUUGGGGCUAGUUUGAACUUAAAAAUGCGUCUGUUUUUCACGCGGGAUGAAUUAGAUCCAUUGCUAACGUCUUAACGGACGUCUAAUAAAAGUUUCGGUCAUUUCGUUUCGAAAAUUCUAGAUCCUUGAAAAUCCAUGGAUUAUAGCAUACAAAAAUCAAUAAAAUCUACGUUUACCUGCUUUGGGGCUUGUUUAAACUUGAAGAUGCGCUCGUUUUCCCGGUUGGAUGAACUGGGUCCAUUCCUAACGUUUUAACAGACGCCCUUGAAAAAUUUCAGACAUUUCGUUUUGAGAAUUUCGGAUCACAAAAAUUUUCUGAACUAUAACACACGAAAAUCGAUAAAAUUUGUGUUUACUUGCUUUUGGGCUUGUGUGAACUUGAAAAUACGCUCGUUUGAACUUGGGACGAACUACGUACAUUGUUAACAUCUUCACAGACCUCUAUGAAAAAUUUCAGUCAUUUCGUUUCGGAAAUUCUUGAUUACAAAAAAUCUAUAAACUAACGUAGAUGAAAAAAAAAAUGGCAUAAUUCCUAUAAAUUAGCCCAUAGAUGUCUCAAAAUGAACUAUGAAAAGGGUUUCGCAAAGGUUUCACAAAGAAAUCGUCUGAAAGUCGUAUCACCAAAAUAUUUAUGGGCUAACACACACGAAUAACUAGAAAAAUCACCUAAAUCUUGUCAAUUUGCCCGUAAAUUCCCAAAAUAGACUUGGAUAACUAUACGUAAUGCUUCUCAAGGAGGAUUUCUUAAAGGUUUCACAAAGAAAUCAUAUGAAAGUCAUAUUCACUAAAAUAUUUAUGGGCUAACACACACGAAAAACAAAAAGAAUCACUUAAUUCCUAUAAAUUGACUCUUAAUUACCCAAAAAUCAAUGUAAAAAUAACGAGACUGUAAGUAUUGAUCUGCCAACUCCCUACACAUUUAAGUUAUAUCAUUGGUACCUUAAGGAUAUCCACAAGUAAAAGUCACAUACUAUAAUAGGUAAAAGUCAGUGGGAAAACUCCUUACAUUGGAUGGUGUAUCACUGUACAUUAUGAAAGCAUUUCAGCAAAUUUUUUCGGAAAACGUAUCGAAGCCUGAGCGGGCGCGGAGAAGGAAAGGCCAAACACUUCGGCCUAACGGGAAUGAGCAACGACGAAAUGAGAAGAUGAGGUGACAACAUUACUUAAUAUAAUUUCACAAGUUAGGCUUGAGGAGGGUGAUACGUAGUUGUACUACUUUAUGAAGAUAAGUCCGAUAGACCCUAGACUCAAGAAACACUAACAUACUCAGUAUAAUCCUACAAGCGGGAUCGAAAAGAGUUGUGUAUGCAACCUUACCCUACCCAUGAAGGUAGAGAGGUUAUUUUUUAUAGACCCUCGACUUAAGAAAAGAAAUGGCUUCACCCAAACUCAAAUCCGGGACCUUGAAAUAGUUUAUCAAAGAAGUUUCAACAACAUACUUCACAUAAUUCCAAAAAAUGAGGUCUUAGAAAGGGUAAAGUGAAAGCAAACCUUACCCAUAUCUUAGGGUAAAAAGACUUUUCCCGAUAGACCUCCAACUCAAGGAAAGAACAUUCCAAAACAGUAUAGAGAAAAAAAUCAUGACAAAAUAUUAUGAACAACCAAACAAAUUGCCCUAAAAAUUAGUCAUAACAAAGAUAAAACGAUAUCUGAAGUAAAAAAAAAAAACAAAUAGUAACCACAUGCAGUUUCAUUAAAGGGUUAAGCAGUUGAAUCCUUUUUUACAACCAAACUAAGUUUAGACAGCCAGCUACUCAAGUAUGUACAAAAGAGAUGGACAUUUACAAGAUUUUUGACAAGUAAAUCUAGGUUUUACUCUAGUUCUGACUUGAUUUCAGGGUCAUUCCGAGCAACAUUGUGGUCCACAGGGUUUUCAACUAUGGAACCACCACUGUAUCCAGCCACAAGCAACUUCUCAAUUUUCGACUUCCACUCUGAGCCAUCUUUCUCCGUUAUCCUAUCAUGAAUAACUCUAUCACAAUACCUGAGCAUCGUUCCCAGUCCGGUGUUACGUAUCCAACCAUAUGACAUCAGUACCCUCGCUUCUCCUUCAGUAAGUUCUUUUCCCACCUGCGUGCAUACAAUGGAAGCAUGAAAAAGUUUUCAAAAUGAUAUAAGAUUUGAAAUUGUAAGCAGAAAACAGGUUGGUAAGGUAAAUGAAUAAGUUUGGAUGUCGAGAGACCAUUUGAGGACAUUUCUACUUGUAUUGUGAACAUUUAUUUUAUAGACUACACUCGUAUGACCACCACAAUGAUUCAGACAUGUAUCAACUGAGAUUUGAACAUUCCAAAAGGAUCCAAGACAGGCCAGAGCACAGGAAUGUGGGAAUCAUGGUACGGAAACAAACGAAGAGAUUUAACUUAAACAUCACAGAAAUUUGUUGUCUAAAGUCAUCCGUCUUCAAGUGUUUCCUUAAUAGAUGGCGGUUUUCAGUCAAUCUAGCAGCAUAUGCUCUAAAAAAACAAUGUCCAAGUCAAGCAAGUUUGACCUCAUAAUAUGAGCCAGAUCUGAAAAGCCAAAAGUGUUUCAUAUUUGCUUUACAUGCUAUUAUAAAUCAAAUAUACAGAUACAAGUUUAUUACCGACAACGGAUUUGUUACACCUACGACACAUACAAUAACCACCAACAAGGCAACAACUACUACUACGCCUCAAUUCAAAGCAAUGCUUAAAGCAUGAUCUCCCUUCAUCUUGCUUCCAAUCAACUGGAUAAUAUGUUUUACCAUAAACUAGGAGAGAGCAUGACACUUUAGUCUAGGAGUAAACUUUGUCAGAUUAAAUUUUCAUGCAAAUCUUCCUAUACAACAAAAAACAUACCCAGUGAAAUCCCACAAGUGGGGUCUCGGGAGGAUGGUAUGUACACAACCUUACUGUACCUUACGAGGGUAGAGAGAUUGUUUCUGAUAGACCCUCGAAUCAACAAGAAAAACAAGAAGGAAAAGAGAAUACAGUUCAGAAUACUAGUAGCGCCAACAAAUAAUAUGAUAACUGAAGCAAUGGAAACAAAUAAUAUAAAAAUUGAAUUAGAAGAAAUUAGAAGAAAAAUGCCAAUACCGUUGAUAAGGGAAACUAGACAGCCUGACUACUUAAUUACCCUUCUACUCUAAUCUCCGACCUUCAUAUCCUCCAAUUAGGGUCGUGUCCUCAGUAAGCUGUUGUCUAAUCAACUUUUCCUAAUACUUCUUCGGCCUCCCUCCCUCUACCUCUUAUCAGACCCACCAUACCCAACCUUUCACAUCUCCUCACUCGGCGUGUCCUCUUCACAUGCCUGAGUCAUCUCAGCCUCGCUACCCUCAUCUUGUCUAUCCACAAUCAAUGGAAGUCAAAAAAGAAUCUGAAGAGUGGAAAAUGAAGUUAUACAACACCUGAUUUGUUGUCCAUGUCAGCGCAACUGAUGUCCAUGCUCAUUUGGAGGUGUUCGGUGUGCACUUUUGGCAAACAUAGGUGCUUAAUGAAACCUUCAACACCCUUAUGGUAAAAAGAAAAAGCUACUACAAGAUCCCAUAAGAAAAUUGUACUGAAUUCUUGUCUUUGUUUCCAAAACCAAUCAGAUCCUCCCUGACUUUGCUUUCUAAAUUUCUUUUUCCUCCCCAUUUUCCUUCCAUUCAUUUCUUCUACUCCCAUACUUCCAACGAUAACUUCCUAUCACAAUUAGGCAACUCGGCUGCAAUUGAUGCUUUGCACUAAACAUGCAAAAGAUGGAACUUGUUUCUAAAAGAUUUACUCGUUUCAUCCUAAAUUUCACCUUCAAAAUCCCCUCACCUAUUCAGAGCAUUACCCUCCCUUUAUCAUUUCCAUUCUUCUUCCUUUUCUUAGGUCAACAAGAAUUACCCCAAGCAAAAAAUCAUUUAGAGAGACGUAGACCAAAGGUUGAUCUUUUCUUCAAUAAAUAAGAAGGCAGACGGGCAACGAGACAGAAUUAGCAUUGAGCAGAAAUAUAGGAGAGAUCAAUCUGCUAGCUUCUUCUUACUUUCAUUUUAGACGAACUUCAAAGAGAACUUAUUGUUACAGGAUCAUCAGCUAGUAAUUAAUCAGCUAAGAUUUCCUUCUUGAUUAUUCAUCUUACCUUAUUAACCACUAUGCAAGUUAAUAGCAUCUAGUUUAAAUACUCAUCAUUAUAAAACUUCAGCAAAUAAUAACAUCUGCUUCAAGUUAAUUAGUUGUCUUGUCCCCUCAAUACAAAGGCCAUCUUCAAUUGAAGAUUAACUGAAACCAAGUAGAAACAAGCAGAAGAGUCUCCAAAAGAGCCAAGGGAGUUUUAUUAACAUUGACGAGAGUAGAAACAAACAGAAGGGUCCCCCCACAAGAGCUAAGAGAGUUUUAUUAACAUUGACGAGUGUAGAAACAAGCAGAAGGGUUUCCACAAGAGCUAAGGGAGUUUUACUAACAUUGACGAGGUGGACAUAAAUAGAUAUAUAUUGAUCAAUCGAACUCCUCUAACUAUAAGGAGUUAGUCGAGAGAUAGUUUAUGAUAUACAUAAAAAAAUAUGGUUUGAGUGAUAGUUUAUGAUAUACAUAAAAAAAUAUGGUUUGAGUGAUAGCUUAUGAUAUACAUAAAACAAUAUGGUUUGAGUAAUUCUAGUAAAAGCAGACAAAGAACAUGCAAUGAGAUAAAGCAGCUUUAUGAAGUUCACCAAAGAAUUAACAUUAGCCAACCAGUGCCUACACCAGAAGCAAGAAAUACUUCAUUCUCAGCUACCUUUACAUCUUCAGGUUAUACAAGAUCUCUGAUGGCUGGAAAAACCAGUGAAUCUUUAUCAUCUUAGACUUGUCUGGACUUACCCAUAUCUUUAUGAUCUUACCAAUGUAAGGAAGUUCACCUUGUGCAUUUAUACAGAGUCUUAUAGAGCAUAUUCCACACCAUCAUAAAUGGUUGAUUCAUAAAACUGCACCUCCCUUUUACCACCAUUACAUCUCUUUCUACCCCAGACAAAUCCUACUUCCUCAACAUUUUCUAGGACUGUCAAAGGUUCUACUUCAACUGCUUUUACCUAGGCCAUAAUUGUCCACCCACAGACCUGCUUCCGCUUCCUAUCGAGUCCUCUACUUUUACCACAGAAAUUAGCCCUCGAUGAUCUAUGACGACUGCUUACACUAAGAUGAUGGUUUUUAAGAGUUCCACCAAUAUGCUAAAUCUUCUAACUACUUUAAAAGUUAGCUAGCUUGACAACUUCAAACACAACCCUCCCUUUUCUCUCCCCUCUGUACAUUUUGGGUAAGUAGAAGUUUAUGGUCGUUUUGGUUUAGACUGGAUGUAUGGAACUGUUCCUGUCGACUGUGACCACCUCAUCUAAAAGUUCAAGCUGUUAGAGAUAGAACACCUAUGUUUAUUAUUUUAGGUUUGAAACAUGCCCCAUCACAAGGAAAGUCUGGUUUUUUUUAAAUGCCAAGGACGUGGAAAAACUUUGUUUAUGGUGGCAGUGACCUUUUGUCUACUCUAAUACCAUAUUGAAACACUUCAUCUAAAAGCUUAACUUGUUUAGAGAUUGAGCAUAUAAUUAUUUAUUUAUUUUAGUUCUGCAACAGUUUCAAGAAGUUGAUAACCAACAUAUAAUAGUUACAGCUAAAACAGACGGACUAUUUUAUCUAGUAACCAAAUUUCAAUCAUGAUAGCGGAAAUGAUUUAGCAUGAAUAAAGAUUAAAGAAACAAGUGACAACGAAAAAAUUUGCUGAGGAGCAAGUCCAACAAUCAUCUAAGCCUCCAACCUUUUUCACCUAAAAUCUCUAUCAAAAGGGGAACCAGGAUUUCAUAUUAAAACUCAUAAGAAAGAGAAGAAGAAAAAACAAGCACAAGGGACCAUUAUGGGGUAAAGUAAAAGCAACUAUUUCUCACUUCAAUUUGACGCCAAAGGAAGUUGAUAACAAGAAUUUCCCUCCCCCCAGGGGAAAAGGGGCCACAAAAAAUUUGGUCAAACCCACAUCAGCAACAUAAAAAUGGGAACAUUAUUGCAACAAAGGUAAAUACCGUCAGUGCUCUAUCCUCGAUUAGGUUGACUCUGCUAUAGCUAGUAAGCUUCAUAACAGUUACCAAUCGCCUGAUUUGCCAAUCAAUGGUGGAGGAAUCCACCAGUUCAAAGAAGUAUGUUGCAUAGCCAUAUUCAGGAUGCUCCAGCACAAUCCUACAUGUAUAUAAGUAUAAAUCUUGAUGGAUCAUGAAACACUACGAGAACUCUAGAACACAACGUGGCAGCGAACAACCGACCUGUUAUGCCUUUCAAAGACAAAAAUAAAAGACCGGAGAUCUCGGCACCAUCCCCAUUCAGCAGGCCACUUCCGGAACUGCAGAUAUCGUGCCUAAAGUGCAAUUCGAAAAAGACAUAUGAGAUAACAGUGAUACAAAGACAUAUUAAAAUGAAUAUAGACAACUAGAGUUUGCGCCAAAUAAAUGUCUAUACCUGCUCAAUGAGGGAAAACAGACAAGCUAAACAAUAGCUAGCUUUUUCACCUUUUGUACGCUGGAGUGGAGGUAGCUUUAUUAAUGACUGCCGUUGGACGGAGAAAAGCUAAACAACAAGUUAACACAACAUGAAAUCAAAUAAAUGGAUUAGUACCCUGCCUAAAAAGAUAAAACCAGAAAAAUUAAUAUAUGUAUUAUUUCUUUAAUUAUUAUAAAAGCAUGAGUAACAAUGUUGAAGGACCAAAAUCGCUGUAAAAUAUUGAUGGUCUUUUAUACCAUUUUAGCCUAAUUCUACCCCAUUUAUAUUGAUGAUAAUUUGGUGAGUAACAAAAAAAUUAUAUUAAAAAUAGAGUCUAAACAAAUUCUACUACUAAAUUUUUAAUUCCCAAACUACAACAAUGAACAACAAACAUAGUGUUUGUAGUCCCACAAAGUGGGGUUUGGGGAUGGUAGAAUGUACGCAGAUCUUACCUCUACCUUAGUAGAAUAGCCGUUGUUUCCGAUAGACCCUCAUUCAAGAUUAAAUAAAACAGUCUAGAAAAAGAAGUACUGGAAAUAAAAGUAACAACAGACUGUACCAAACGACGAAAUAGUAGUAAAACUAUAAUCAAACUAGACGAAACAACAGAUUACUGGAAUCGAAGAACAAGAAACAAGUGUAAUACUACGACUUCUAGAAUGGACAGCAAGACAGACAAUACACUCCUACCUACUAGUAUGGACACAUUCCUACCUACUAUCCUUCUACCCUAAUUUGUGUCCUCCACACUUUCCUAUCUAAGGUCAUAUCCACUAUCCACUGUAACCUGCAACUGUGGCAUGUCCUACCCAAUCACUUCUCCCCAAUACUUCUUUGGUCUACUUCUAUAUUUCCUGGAUUCAUCCAUAGCGGACCUCUCACACCUUUGCAUUAGGGCAUCUGUGCAUUUCCUUGUCACAUGCCCGGACCAUCUCUGCAUCGCUUCCCGCAUCUUGUCCCAAACUAAUUAAUUAAAUAACCAAACCUUAACUAUUCAGUCUAAUGGAAAAACAUUACAACAAACAUGCGCUUCUACACCAACUUAUCUUAUUGAUAUGAACACCUUCAAAAAAAUUUAAAUAAUUUCUUUACCAUUUUCUUCUAAUGUUAUUCAAUGGAGUUAAAAUGAGAAACAAAAACUUAGUAAAAUAAACUAUUUAGGGUAGCUAAUUGUUUGACAAAUUUAUAAAAAAUAAAUCUAUGGCUAUUAUAUUAACACACAUCAAUUGAUCAUAUAUACUCGACAUUAUCAUGUUUAUGACCAGCAAUUAAUUUAUAUUAGAUGUAACAGUGCAUUUGUGAUCAUCAUACCUUGGGGCUAUCUAUAAUGGAAGUUAAAUUGAUUUGGUGUAAAACUUUAUCAUUAUUGUAAAAUGAUCGUUCAUCCUAUGUAUAAAUUUUAAUAAAUGUUAUCUAUUUCUUCUUCACAAACAAUUAAUUGAAGGUCUACGGCAAAGAACAUGCAUAGUAACUAGUAAGGACAUAGGGCCGGUAAUAUGGCACUCUCUAAGGCCUAGAAUACUAUUUAUCUUUUUUUGUGGCUUUUUACCUUUUCCCUUAAAAUUUCCCUUUCAACUAAAUAUACAAAAAACCGAAAGUCACGACUUAAAUAUACAAUCAUUACUCUUACAACAAAAAAAUAUUGUCGUUCCCUAAUCCCUAAAAUGUUACAGUUGUUCCUCCUUCAAGAAACACAAUUGUUUUUUUUUACAAAUGCUAAUUGUUUCUAUUUCUAUAGAACAAUACAUAGGCUGUACUGAAACCUGUAUUUUACAUAAGGAACUCUAAAAAUACCGACCUAUCCCUACAAUGAGUCUAAGACAUCAAUGAUAGAGACGGUAUCAUUAGAGUAAAUUUGAUUACACCAAAAACACAGAGUCAAAAUGCAAUUCGGUUUAACUUGUUGCAGACUACUCUCCCUAUUCUCAAAAACUCCAAGGUUCCUCUCUUUCCAUAUUGUAAACCAAAUAGUGGCAGGAACAAUUCUCCAGUUACUUUUGAUUUUUGCUUGUGUCCCUGCUUCUUCCCAGCUAUAUAGAGCCUCUGAAAUUCUCCCAGGCAUGGACCAGGAGAUGUUUUUAAGUCUCAGGAACAGAUUCCACAACUGGCCAGUGACUUCGCAUUGGAUAAACAAAUGAUUGAGUGUUUCUGCAGUUUUCCCACAGAAAAAAUCUAGAGCAAAGUGUAAUUCUCCUGUGUCAAUACUGCUUCUUUAGCCAAUAACCACACAAAGCAAGACACCUUGUAGGAGAUCUUGGCUUUCCAUAUAUGUCUCCAGGGCUCAAGAAAACACAAUUGUUCCUACAAUUGACAUGGUUCCAAAGGUUGGAGAAGUAGAACCGAAGAGAAGAAAUAAAGUUGUUGAGAAAUUUCUCUACUUUCUUAUCUCCGCAAAAGGAGCAAAGAGUCAAUAAAGAGAUAGAGAUAAAGCUUCUUAACUCCACCUUUAGCAUAUUUUGAUACAUAUGCUUUAGAGAUAAAUUAGGGUUUUUUCGUCAAUGUUUUUGUAUUGGUUGAAAAUCUCUCGUUAUUUUACUUAGUGUAACCAUGUGCACGGCAGUUUGAUUUUGUCUAAUAUGUAAACCACAUCCAAAAGGGUCCAUUAGUAGCAGGAGUGUUGUUAGCUGAGAUGGGUCUGGAUUUGUUUCACUUUUUAACUAUAUUUCUUAGUUUCAUGAUGGAAGUGUAAAUUUCAUCAGUACGCCUAGAAAACUAAAAUCAUAAAAAGCUCAUUAACAAUUGAUCUCAAAAUACUAGAAAGUUAAAGCUAACGGAUACAUGUCUACUGAAUGGUUCUAGGUAUUUUCUUUUGCUUUAAUCAGUGCAAAAGUGCCUUUGUUAAGAUCUUCUAGGGGUGAUGGCCAAAGAGCAUUUCUCAAAUGGAUAAAACAGAUUUGCGGAUGUUCCAUACAUAAUUAAAAAAAUUGCACAAAAUUGAUUUUGGUCUAGAAGUACGAAAUUUGGGAACUGAUUAUGAGAAUUUUUCGGGAAUUCAUUUCAAUUUUGGCAACUGAAGUCACAAUACGUAAUGGUGUGGUUCAUAAAGGUAUGAGUUUGUUAGCGGGGAUGGAGGAUACUAGUGGUAGUGAAAUUAAGAUGGACGGAGAUUGUAGAAAAUGGUGGAGGCUGUCGUCAUGGUGAAAUAAAGAAGAAAAAACAGGAGUGGUGAAGGAUGGAAAUGGUUGUGGCGGAGACUAUGAAAAGAAAGAACACGGGAGUUAUGGGUGAGGGGAAGAAAAAUUGCUCAAUAAGGAGUUUCUUCUUUUGAAUGUUAUUUUCCACGUGUCAUUUAAUAAUUUGUUGCUUUAGCGUGUGAGAAUCAUAUGCUUUAUUUUUAAAAAAAUAAGGAUAAUUGUGUAUUCAUAAAAGACUCAUUAUCAAAUGAUGAUGAUUAUAGGAGCAUAAACAAAACCUACCCCUAGGGAGAUUACAAAUUACCUAUGAAAUCUACAAAAAGUUCUAUAUCCCCCUCAUAUCCUGUUUACACCAAAAGUAUAAACGACUAAGGCUAUUCAUCCUUAUCUUCUCAAUGUUGUUAGUCUUGUCCUCAAAACAUCUAGCAUUCUUUCUUUCCAUAGAGUCCACCAAAUGCAAGAUGGUAUUAACUCCCACCAGUCUUCAGUAGAGUGUCUUCUUCCUAUCUCCUUCCAGCUGUCUAGCAUACCCUUGGUGGUCUGUGGAAUCGCCUAGCAUACACCAAGGAUCAUACGCUUUAUUUGUGAGGCAGAUUGUCACAUUAGUGCUUAAUUCAUACACUUUCAAUAGUCUUCCCAUGUUCAAUAGGUAACACCUUUAUAUGAAGUGUCUAAAUGAAUUAUUUUGACAUGUUUAGGAGGCCCUCAAUUACCCUAACUUCUAAUAUCUCUCGCUCAUAGAUAUCUACGUAUAGUAAUAAAAGAUUUAGUUUGGCUCUACCGAAAGGACAAAAUAUGUAUCAAUUACUUUUCGUGAUUUGGGAAACAGCUAUUUUGAUUGCAAUUUGAAAUCUGAACGGUAAGUUUCUGACUAUAUAACAUCCUCUAUUAAUGGAUUGAUAUAAUCUCUUUUACGCAAUUGAUUACUUCACAUGACUUGGUUAGGUUCCUCACUUAUUCUAUCAAGAUAUUUAGUUUAUGUAUUUCUAAGUUGCUUGGCUCUUCACUUUUGGUGUCGCACCCAUGUCGACACGAUAUUGGUCUGGGUGUGCGAUCCGUGUUUGAUUUGGUCAACCGAUUUUGAAUACUUUGACCAAAAUAGAUGGGGAAAGUCCGGACAGUUUUAACGAUUUUGGCAAUCAAUACAAAAACUAUGGUGAAAUUGAAGAAAUGGAAUACCUUUUAUAUAGAAAUUUUUGUCACUAUUUUUCCUUUAAUCUCCUUCCAAGAUUCUCCUCAAGUUCUCCAUAUAAUAUCUCAUAAUUUAAGGUUUCAUAACUCUAUUUUUAGAUAUUUUAAUUAUUUUUAGGCCAAUCCCCGCACCCCUAUCCAUACAUGGAUUCAUAUCCCCGAAUUUUAAAAUUAGAUCAUGAAGGAUUGGACUUCUAGAUCCGCAUCCAUAUCGGACACCUGCACCUAAGUCUGAGCAACUUAAGACGUAUUUAUAAUGAUUAAUUUUGGUAUUUACUUUGAAUUCUGGUCAGGGGCACUGUUUUCAUCGAGUUGAAAAUUUAGCCUACUACAAAGUGUUGUGACCGAUGGAGUGAGAGAUUGAUGUGGUAUUUUUUUUAGGAGUUGUUUCGGUAAUUACAUUGUUACUGUUAACUUGACUCAUGGUUUUGCUAUGGUUUGGUAAUUAUUUUGGUAAAUUCAAUAUUACUUUGUCUCAACACAAAUAAAUCCUACCUAUUUUGCAUUUUGACGAAUCUUUAUAUUGGUUUUAAUAGUCCAAAGUAUAUCUUUCUAACAUUGAAUCUUAUUAUUAUAUCUCAUUUCCUUAAAUCUUUUUCCUUUUAUCUAAAAUCCAUUUCCUUCACAUUCAUAAAUUUUGAUUCCCGCCAAAUAUAGUGAGAUAUAUUCAUAACAUGUCUGCCCUUAAUAUCCAUUAAAUUCUGUCACUUAAUGUUGAGUUUGAUCCAGACGUUAACCUUCUGUCAAUAGUAGAAUCUACCCAUCUGUAAAACUUUCAAUGUCCCUAUGAUGAUUUUUUAAAAAAAAAAAAUCCUUUCCCCAAAGAACUUUUUAGAUAUCUUAGGAUCAUAUAAACCACUUCCUGUGCGCUGCCUUGGAGAGUGCAUAAAUUGACCGUCUAAGCUUACAACAAAAGCCUGAGUGUGUCAAGUAGAUCAACUUCUCCACUAGUCUCUGAUAUUGACUUUGGCCAACUGAAUUUCCUUAUUUAUUUUCUAACGUAAUAUUCGGAUGAAUAUGUGUUUCAAAUGGACGACAACCUCUCAUCCCUAUCUCUUUUAGAAGAUCUAGCACAUACUUCUUUUGUGACAACAUAAUAAAUUCUUUUGAUCUCGCUACUUCCAUGCCAAAAAAAUAGUUCAAAUGACCCAAAUCUUAGAUCUCGAAUUCUGAGACCAACUAUUUUUUGAAUCCUUCAUUUCUAACAGAUCUCUUGUAAGUAUGAUAUCAUCGACAUACACUAUUUCGAAUAGUUGUCUUCCCCUCAAGAGAAUGUCAGAUGACAUGGUAUGAUUUGUUAAUCCUGGAGCAUACCAUUUUUGUUUUACACAACUGAGUAAACCUCUCAUUUUCUUCACUUUUCAUUUUUUUAUGCUAUCCUUGGGACGCUCUCAUUCAGCAUUAUAGCAUUCAUCUAAUUCUUGUCAUAUGAAAACCAUCUCAUUAUAGUAAAUAGUAAUUCCUCUCCCCUUGCCUAGCUUUCCGCAAUUUAUUUGUUAACUCAAAAAUCUUAGAGGCAUUUUCUACAUCAGAAUAAGUCUCUCUAACAACCUCCUUAACAUCCCAAGCAAAGGGAACAACCAAAUAGGGUUUACUUAUGGCAGGUUCCAUGGAGUUAAGUAGCCAAAUGAUUACCAUCGCGUUUUCUGAUCUCUAGGUGAUCAAUUUUGGGUCUCGUAGUUCAGGCAUUCUCGUUUCUCCAGUUAGUUAGGUGAUUAAGUUUUCUCAACCAUCAAUUGUCAUAAGGACAGAUUGCGCCCAUUCCAAAUAAUCCUUGUCCUUCAGAUUACGAGAGGUAAGUUGAAUAGACAAAUGAGAAGAAUCGUCGCUUCAGUUCGUUUUUGUCUUGCUCAGAACUUUGUUAACGGAACUCUCGGCUUCUAUCGAUACCGCUGGGUGUCAUAGCCGAAAAUGUUGAUUUAGUCAUAAGCAACACAAGAACAAAACUGCUCUGAUACCGUAUAAGUUUUGGUACCAAAUUGUACAAUCAUAUUCAUUUGUAGAUGUACAAAUUUAUAGUAGAGAAAAACAAACAAACUAGCAAUCUAAUUCCUGGAUUCUAAGUCAUUUGAGAAUCAAGAAAUUACUUUAUUUGAUCUAAUUUCUCAAAACAGUUAAAUAACAUGUCAGAUCUGAUUUCAUUGUUGUAGGGGAUAAGGUUUGCGUACAUUCUACCUUCCCAGACCCCUAGUCUAUGGGAAUUCACUAAUGUUGUUGUUGUUGUUCUUAUAAUGACUGAAUGAAGCAGGGGCAAGAUCACUAGUAAAAUAAAAAAGAAAGAACCAGAAAUGAACUAAGUGCAUUCUAAAACAUGGGGUUUCAAGUUAAACCUAGAUAGAGAAAAGAAAGGUAAUUUUUCCCAUUUGCCUAAGCUCAGAGUUACCUGGUACAUAUAUUGGUGGAAUGUAGCAGCUACUCGGGUGAAACAAGCAAGGUGUGUGCAUCAAAUUGGCUAAGGAACCACCAUCAUAAAUCAAAUAGUAUGAAGGAAAUAGGGAAAAACAGAAAGUGUGAUCCACUAAAAGUUGCAAUAGCACAUAAGGUAAAGAAGCGGAAGACAUCGGCAACCAAACCCCAACCAGUGUCGCCCUGAACAUACCAUCUAUGCACCGCCAGAUAGUCAGCCAGUUCCGAUGAGAUCUACCCACGUGCCAGUGUGUGAGCAUUGUUCCAGCCACCUUCCGGCGAGUUUCAUUUUUCAAAUACACUCGCCUGUUGAUUCUGAUGCUAUUGAUCCAAUUUCCUCCUGAUUCCAACCACUUCCUGUCAUCAGAUCUGAUUUUUCAGGCGACUGCUAGCUUUUCCCACUUCGGCGAUCUGCCUUUUCUAGCAGGGUAGCCUUGUGAUUCCAAGCAAAUCUAUACCUGCUACACUAUUUUCUGACCACUUUUUGUCGAGGCGGAUACUGCUUGGGCAGAGUCUCCCUCUAUAGAUUGUGUUCUAGUCGGGGGGGAGGGUGGAACUUUGGUGUCUUGAAAAAGUAAGAAACAAAAUGUUGUUGGUAGAUCUAGUGCAGAAGCAGAAUAUUGGAUUAUAGCAGAUGCGGCAUGUGAACUCAUAUAGAUCAAGCAACUGUUGAAGGAGUUGGAAUUUGGAGAGAAUAAAGAAAUGGAACUUGCGUGCAAUAGUGAAGUUGCACUUCACAUUGCAUCGAAUCCAGAGAUUCAAAAGAGGACCAAGCACAUAAAGAUUGAUUGUCAUUUUUUAAGAGAGAAAGUACUCUCAACCUCUCAGUAGACAUCAUCACAAGGUUUGUGAGUCAAGUGAUCAGCUUGCACACAUAUUCACCAAAUCCCAAGCCGAUACCCGAACAAGUUAUAUCUAUAGCAAGCUUGGUACAUAUAAUUUGUAUGCACCAGCUUGAAGGUAUAUAAUAGGUAACCUAAUUUACUCCUAUUGUAAUUAGGUAUGGAUUUGCAUACAUUUUCUCCCUUUUUAGGACAUGUAAACUCGGUUAUUUUAACCCCCAAUAGCUUGAGGGAAUAAUUAAGUCGAGUUCCCUCUUAUUUUCUCUUCCAUUUCAAUCCUUAAGUCUUGAUGAUCACUUCGACAAUUUCGUUAAUUGACAUGAAUGACUUUCACAAAAGAAAACAAAAGGUUUACAGCUUAAAAUCACUGCUUCACAAUAAAAUAUAUCAAAAUGCAUUCAAUUCUUUCUCCAUGUCUAUCACUUUAUUUAUCUAGAACACACCUCUCUCUACGUGAUCCCAAGCUAACAUUGGCAUAUCAUAUCAUAUGAAAUUUGAAAAGUGGAAGUUGUAAACUAAAACCAUAAUUGAAAUAGAUUUCAAGAAUAAGUCUAUUACAAUUGAGUAAUUAAAUACUGCCUGAAAGCCUCUAAACUGAAUCAUACAAUUGAAAAGACACUCAAGACGGAUCUAAUUCCUGAACUAACCAUCAGUAACAUUUUCCGGAUCAUUGAAUGACUAAAAUCUACAGCAUGCUUCAGCAGGAAACAGGUAAUCCAGACACUUAUGAAUGUAGGCAGCUUUCCUCCUCAAUUAGUGACGAGAAAGAUCAUGAGAACAUGUAUGGCAUACCUUAGAUAUAACAGCUUGAAGCUCUGAGAAGUUCUUUUCAGAGGACAAAUCAUCAAGAGGCUCAUUACUCGCAUUUUUCCCAUAAAGCUUCAUCUCAUCGAUGCUUACACCUUUUUCAAGUAAUACCUGCAAAGAUCAAUACUAUGAGCCAUCUGAUUUUUAACUAGGCAAUUUGAUGGGAAAUACCUGCAAGAGUCCAGGAGCAUCUUCCUCCAUAGCUGCUUGAACUGAAUCUCUGCAGUUUGUAGGAAAAAGAUAUGGAUUAAAUGUGUACAGUAUACGCAAAUACAUACACAUACAUGUUAGCAUGUGUCUGUUGAGGUUUCGGUGGCCAUCCAUAGUAAAUGCAGCCAUAUACAAAUUGAUAUAUACAUAUAUAGAGUAAAUAGUCAGCAAAAAGAAAUUUUACGUGGCAGUCUUCCUUUGUUUCCGUGGCGGGCAAACUUUUAGUGGAUUGGCUGGCACAGCUGAAAUGGGUGCGCAAUCAGAGAUGGAAGAAGCUAUUUCGCUUGAGCACUCUACAACUCUACCUAUCUUGAAAGAAGGAGCCCUUCUCUUAGAGUACAGCUGCAUUCGCUCAGAUAACGCCAUAUUAUCCAGUUCGUCUUCAGUAAACUCAAAGGUAAUUCCAACUCCACUUUUCACCUGAACCAUGCUACUAUUGGGCAAAUUACCCAUUUCAUUCUUCACAGUAGCUUCAACCAUAUUGUUACCCACAGGUUCAACCUUGACAUGUACAAGAUCGGAUAAAGGAGAACCAACUUUCUUUUUCCCAGCACUUUGAGAAAUCUUGUCAUCCAUGAGUACGCUGGAAAAAUUGGAAGGGUUAUCCUGCACAACAUACAGAAAUUGGCAACUUCAGUUGACUAAUUAAAAAAGGACAUAACAAGAUAUGAAACAGGCAGUAACUUCACUGACAUUAAAUUCCACUUUUUCUUGCUCUUCUGGGAGAAUAGUCCAACAAAUAAAGCAGUUCGUUGGGGAAAGAUACUGGUAAAUAAGUAUUUCCGGAACUAUUAAAAAGACAAUUUCCAUAUUUCUUCUCUCCGGACCAAACAUCCAUGAGAGAUAAAGAGAAAGGGACACCUAUUAAGCUAAUGAUCCUGUUUUCCUUCAAGGAAUGCAGUAAAUCAAUUGAGCCAAAUAAUCACAUAGGAAAAUCGCAUAGCAGACUAACAUAGUUAUGUAAAGAUGUUCUGAAACAAAUAUAGGAUUCGACCUGCUGGAUUUGAACCAGCAACCAAGAGGGAUGUUCCCUUGCUCUUCCCUGAGCUAAGGUCAAACAUAUACCAACUUUCAUGGCCAAGCUUCAAGGAGAACUGCCUUAGUUGCAAGAUGUAAAAACAUAAUUAUGACAGUGGAAAAAAGAACCUACAGAACAUUACUAAUUACUUUUAUUGCUUAUAAUCCAGCCCAAAAAUUAUUAGCCCGAGAAGCUAAGAAAAAGUAUUCUCCGAGUACCUAAAAAUUGUAGCAUAUUGUUCGCAAACCCAUGUCAAUGGAGGCUGAGCAUAGAUAAGUAGCAACAAGAUUUAGCACAGAUGUGGAGUGCAAAUAUUUUGAUCAAGCAUAAGAACUUUGCAGUCGCGCAUGUUGAAGAUACAUAUUUCUGGUUGAAGAAUCAAUUCAGAACACAUCUUUUGAAAGGUAACAUAAAUCAUCAGCAUGAAGCCAUAUAGGAACUUUUAUUUUCCAAAAUGCAUUUCCAAGGAAGCCUAAAUUAUUAUUAGGGAAAGAACCUACUGAUGCACCUCAGUAUACCAGCAUUUCCAGUAUGCUUCAGACAUCAUUAACCCAAUAAAAAACACUCUUGGGAAUUAUUGAUACGGAGCAAGAGACUCCUUCAAAGAUUAAACGAAUCACAUGCAAGUAAAAAUCUUCUCUUGGCUCACAGAAAACCAGAGAAUCUGCAUAAAAAAGGUGUGUGAAGUGCACUUUCUCCUUGAACCUGAGACUUGGAUUAAUACAUUUAUUGCAUCCUUGCAUACCGUCACUAACAUUCUACUAAGGCCUUCCAUAACAAAGGCUAUAAAAAAAAUAGAGAGAGGCUCUCCUUGUCUGGAUAACGAAGAAACCUUGGGGGAACCAUUGAUGAUAAAGGACAGCUUGACUAUGGAAAUGCAGAUGGGAAUAAGUUGAUCCACUUUUUCCCAAAACCCCUUGACAUUUAAACAUGUUGAAAUUCCAGUGCACAUUGUCAAACACUUCCUUAAUAAUUUUUUCUGCACAGCGAAGAAACCUUUGGGGGAACCAUUGAUAAUAAAGAACAGCUAACUGUGGAAAUGCAGAUGGGAACCAGUUAUCCAUUUUUUUUCCCAAAACCCAUUGACAUUUAAACAUGUUGAAAUUCCAGUGCACACGCUUAAUACCAAAUUCACACAAGAUACCUGGUUUUUCCACGGAUUCUAGCAUCAAGACACUCAUUUGCAAUGAAUGAUGCAAAUGUAAUCUGCCUUACCCUCUUAAGGCCAACGGGGUAGGUGAUACUAACUUACUUACUCAUAAUAAUUUCAGUUUAUUAGCAAGAUCCUUCGACAAAACUCUGUACAAAAAAAGGUGUGUUACGUUCAUUUCUCCCUGAUACUCAGACUUGAAGUAAAACCUCAUUUCAUCCUUGCAACUCUGCGCAAACAUUCUACUAAGGCCUUCCAUAACCAAGGUGACAUAUAUGAAAGAGAGGCUUUCCUUGUCUUAAACCUUCCUGGGACAAAGAAACCUUUAGGGGAUCCAUCGAUGAUGAUGAACGGUUUUACUAUAGAAAUGCAAAAGUGGAUCCAAAUCAUCCAUUUUAUCCCAAAACCACUUGCCUUAACAUGUCGAUUAAGUGUCAAACGCCUUCUCAAUAUCCAAUUUACACAAAAUACCUAGUUUUUUUCUGUCGAGGUCUAGAAUCAAGGCACUCAUUCGCAAUGAGUGAUGCAUCUGUAAUCUACCUUCCUCUCGCAAAGGCUAUCAAGGAAGGGCAGACCAGUUACUCACAACAAUUUUAAGGUUGUUAGUAAAAAGUUUGGACACCGAUCUAUAGAAGUUACCAAUCAAACUUAUAGGCCUAUAAUCCUUCACCUCCUUUCCUCCAGCUCUUUUAGGGACUAACACAAUAUAAGAGGCAUUUGAACUUCUUUCAGAAAACUCAUGGAAGUGAAAAAAUUUAUUGCCCUAAUUAAUCUUCCUCAACAUUUAUUGUAGAACCUCAUAUAAACCCAUCUGGUCCCAGCGCUUUGUCCCCAUUACAUUCCCUGAUCACUCACAUAAUAUCCUCUUCAUCCAAUUGUAUUUGCAUCCACAUACCUUCCUCCUCCGAGAUUGCAGGCAUAUUUUCUACAGACCACUCUGGUCUCCAAUGGUUAGAGUUAGUGUAGAGUGCUUCAUCAAAAUUAAAAGUUGCAUUUCUACCAUCCACCUCAUUCUCUAAACAGUACCAUUAGAUUCUAAACUUUCAAUAAUGUUGUGUCUCUAGUGCACAUUGGUCAUCUUAGGGAAGUAAUUUGUAUCCCUAUCCCCUCAUGUAUGCACAAUAAAUUUGUAGUCAAGGACGCCUUUACAAGAAGUCAGUCAAUUUAAGGACUGAUAAAGAAAUGAAUAUUGGGAUUAAUACCUGUGAAUCACAUUCAUCUUCCUUUUUCACAGCGGCAUCAACUGAAGACCUGCACAUGUUACCACCAAUAUUAAAUGCAAAAUAUACGCCACUUUUUUCAGAAAAUUUUGUAAGGAUUGAUAAAGAAAUGAAUAUUGGGUCAAACUCAACCCUAAAAAUUAGUUCAUUGCCAAGCCAUAUAAAGAGAUCAAUUCCCCAAUCCCUAGGCCAAUGUGGGAGACUCGACAACCCCACCUGCCAACCAGAGCAUGAACAAUACAAAUGGGGGCCCAACAUCAAUGAAACAAAGAACUGGGAUGGGUUCGACACUAAUAUCACGAUAAAGAAAAUGGACAUUGGGUCUAACUCAACCCCAAAAGCUAACUCAAGAGAUGAGAAUUGCUCACUCCAUAUUAAGAGAGCAAGUCCCCCGCCUCUUAGCCGAUGCGGGAGACUCAACAAGGAUGACUAAAUCGAAAGACUUUCUGUGGAAAAAGUUUUGAAACAUUUUCCCAACUAAUGAAGAAAAGAAACAAGAGGACUAAUGAAGAAAAGAAGCAAGAGGUACCACCAAGCUAUAACCACCAAAGCAAUUGUGGCAAAAACUAAAAAUUAUACAAUAAUCUAAAUUGAUGUAUAUAUGGACUUUGGUCAAUUUACUGUCAUUAGGGAGAACAUCGCCACGUGCUUGUAUAUAUCCAUAAAUUAGUUUCUAUAAAUUAGUUUCUACUUGGUAUUUCUAGAUGAUCAAGAUUUUUAACGUUGGACUAGUCCGGUAACCAAGCAGAAUGCACUAGUGGGAGAAUGUGCCAGCGACUUUUUAAGAGUCUGGUAGUCCUCAUAGUUCUAAGUAUUUUCCAAAUAAAGUUACUCUACUUCUUUCACUCUUUCACUGGCUUUUUAAGGGUUUUUUUCCCUUCGUCAUUUCCUGUAUCCAUCAAAAUAAAUUUCUUCCCUAGAAUUCCCCUCCCACUUCACUCCUGUCUGGUUAAUUACUUAGUCUUCCUACAUUGGACAAACCAUUCAUUUUUCUAACCUGCCUUUACCCUCUUUUCUUGUUUGUCUGACACUUGAGCAAUACAAGGGGAAACAAAAACAUAGCAUAAUGAGCUUAACAUUUCCAAUUGUUAGAAAUAACAAAGAGAUGCAGUUAAAUAGUGGAUUACAAAUAUUAUGUUUUAAUUUUAUUUCACUUACAAAAUUGUGAACAUCACACAACAAAACAGCUACAAAAACUCCCAUCUUUUUUUUUUUUAAUCAAGUUCCAUUUUUCGAACAGUAUCUCUGCUUUAUCUUCCCUGAAAAAAAAUUUCCCCUUUUGUUAUAUACCUCCAAAACUAUGAACUGAACACUAAAAACCACUACAACCGUUCUUGUUUUUUUCAUUAAAAUUCCAUUUUUUCCAGCUGUACAUCUUAAUUUUCUUUUCCCUUUACUUUCUACUUCUAAAAUUGCAACCUAAACACAAUUAAAUAGCCAAAAAAAAAAAAGGAAAACAUCUUUUGCAAGAAUCUUUUUCUUUCUCUCACUGCUAUUUCUAUAACUGUAAACUAGCUCUAUUUCAUCAAAAUUGAUUCCCAAAUAGAAAAUUCAAUGCAUAAAAACUUAAUCAAACUGAAAAAAAAAAACACUCACUUCAAACCUUGUGCAGUUCCUUGAGUAGAACGGCCACUGGAAGAAGCUUUUGCACCGCGCUUGCUCUUGCCCAUCAGUGAGUUCAUUCGCUGUCCAAACGGCAUUCGAUCAAUCUCAUCCCACUCCCGCUCUUCCUUUUCAGCCUUAGCGAUCGCAGCAUUCAUUUUUGCAUAACCAUCCAUAGCUACUUCUUUCUAUAUCAAUCAAGAAAACAAAAAAGAAAUCGUUGUUUUUCUAGGGUUUCAAUGCACAAAUGAAUUUUUCUACGUUCAUACAAUGAAAUGCACAGAAAAAAUGUGAAGAAUCAGAGAAGAAGAAGAAGAAUUUUACCUUUUUGCAGAGCUUUUUUGGUUUUUUGUGAGAGAAUUUUGUUGCAACAGAGAUGAAUGAGAGAGAAAAUGGAUUUUGCAAACAUAAAGGUGUUUUGGCGCUAUUUUUCUAAUUUGGGCUUUAGUUUAUUUUGGGUUUUUUUUCCGGGUCGAUCGAUUAAAUAUGUAACUUAUCUAGACAAUUAUGAUUACGUAACUUAUCUUGACAAAGAAAAAUUGUGUUGUUUAGUUGUUUAUCGAAAUAAUAGUUAAUAAAUGUAUUAUUAUUAUUUUUGUAGAUGUAAUUUGCUCAUACAAGGAUGGUCUAGGAGAAAAAAUUAGAGUUUUAUCGAUAGAAGUGAAAUUUUUUUCUCAAAAAUUGGUUCAUAAUUAAAAAAUAAUUGAAGAGAUUUUCAAAAUAUAUGGUCAAACAGGUCAAGUGUAUAGUCAAAUAAACAUUUAAAGAUAGUUUUACAAAUUUUAAUUAAAAAUUCACAAGGACGGUCUUGAGAAAAAAUUAAAAUUUUGUGGGUGGAAGUGAAUUUCUCUAUAAAGUUGGUCUAUAAUUGAAAAAAUUGAAGACAAAUUUCUAAAAUAUAUAGUCAAACAAUUUAAAAUAUAUGGUCAAAAAAAUUAAAUGCAUGGUCAAAUAAAUAUUUUAAGAGAGAUUUACAUGAUUAAAAAUUUACAGGGCGGUCAAACAAUUUAAUUCAGAAUCCAUUACCAUUGCUUUGGAAUUAAAGAAAAUUAAGGAAAAAAAGGAGUAAAAAAUGAACGAGAAAGUUAAAAGAAAAAAAAAACUUUGUUUCACCUCUUAAGAUCUAUAAUAUUUUCGAUUUAAAAUUCUAUAUAGUGUAAAGCGUAGUAUGAAGAGUGAUUUCACUCUGUUUAUAGUGUGUGUAAGCUAGAAAAUACGUUAAAACGAUAUUCAUGAUUUGUUAUGACUUAUUCUUCUUUUCUUAAUCAUUUUUCUUUUUUAAAUCUCUACAUCUUUUAUUAAUAAAAGUGUAUUAAUUGAUUGAAACUUAUAACCUUAAGAUACUACUUAUAUUAAAAUAAAUAAAUCUAAUUAUAAAUCACAAUUGAAUUUUAUUGUAAACUCAAUUAAAAUUUAAAUAAGACAACCUUGAAAAUCUUCUUAUUUAUAAUUUUAAUUUGUUUUAGUAAUCAUAUUUUAAUUUAAAUUGUAAUUUAAUCAUAAAUACUUAUAUUUUAUGAUACUUAGGCCUUAUUUGUUUUAAUUAAGAUUAGAGAUGUCAAAAUUGGUUGUCCCAAUCCAACCCAAUCCUAACGGACUAGAGAGUUAAGUGGUUGGAGUGUGCUGACCCUUUUAAUUAAAGGAUCAAUAAAAUAGCAGCUCAACCCAGCCCUAAGCAGGCCACGGAUUGGGACGGGUUGACCCUUCAACCAAAAAAUGAACAAUAUUACUCUCUUAGAAAGAGUACUGAAUUUUGACGUCUAUGAACACAACAUCAAUUCAUAUAUGAAUUUAUUUAUAAAUCACACACUUCGAUGAAUACUUACAAAAAUAUAUUUAUGAAUCACACACUUUGGUGAAUACUUGAAAAAAUAUAUAAUAGCCAACAUAAGAUUUAGCGGAUAAAUGUUGAUCAUUCCAUCAUUUCUCCCACAAAAAACUAGCUGGUUUAAAAAAUUUCCAGCAACACAAGGCAGUCUAAAUACUUAACAAAUCUAAAUUUCUAAAUAUUACAUGACUUAUUAAGUAACGUUUUAUAACUCCUCUUCUACUUUCAUCAUCGAUGACAUUUGAAUCAACAUGUGACAUUAUUUUCUUAAGAAGUUCAUCUUCAUCUACAAUUCAUCAUGCAAGAUGAUAUUACAAAAUACUUGAUUAUUUGUUUUUCAAAAUAUUUAUUCAUAAAAUCUUUACAACUAAAACACUAUUAAAAAUAUAUAUAAAAAAAAUUAAAAAAAUUUAUAGCCCACGGGCUGGUCUCUGAGGCUUGCGGGUUGGUCCUAAGAGGCCAAAUGGGGCGGGCUAAAAAGCCUCGUUCAUAGAUGGGCCAAAAAUAUUAAGCUCAACCCCACUUAUUUCAAGGGUUGGGUUGGGUUGGGCAGGCUCGCGGGCCAAUCCCAUUUAUUUGACGACUCUAAUUAAGAUUAAGACGUCUGAAUCUGAAUACACAUUUGAAUAUUAAGAUCUAAAUGUGUAAAUUUGAAUAAACAUAUGAAUAUUAAGAUAUUGUCUCUGAAUCUGAACAUGUGAAUGUUUGUUUUCAAUAGCUGAAUGUGUCUAUGAAAUUAAAUGUUAUAUCAAUAAAAUAUUAUAACUCAUGUUAGUAAAAUAGUUUUUUUUAAUAGAAAUUUUGUACAUUUUUAACGUAACAAAGUAAUAUGAAACAUCAAGUUACAACAUUAAUAAGACUACUUUUGCACUCAAAAACUUUGAGAAUUUAAUAUAAUGCAAUAUAAAAUAGUUUAUAUAGAGUAGUAGUAUACUGUUUAGGAAAAUAUAUUAUUUUAUAAUAGACAUUUAUUAUUAUUAUCGAUCAAACAACUAAUAUUUUUUAUUUUCUGAAAUCGUGCUAAAUAUUAUAUGAUGGGAGUUCUUAUCAAUUCAAAUAUAUUGAUUGAUUUAUGAAAGUAAAUGACAUAUUAAGUUAAUAAGAAAAAAGGAAAUUAUAACGGUAAGCAUGUAAUUAACAUUAAUUAAAUAAGAAAACAACUUUCAUGAGUUGUUGUGAUGUAGUUGAAUUAAGAUAGAAAUCUUAUUUUCGAGUCUGAAUGGUGUUAAGAGGAUGUUACAGAUCUUUCAGAUAUAUUCAGACCCAUGAAGAGGCUUAUAAGAAAAUAAAACAAACGAACUUAAUGAACUGAAUCUGAAUAAUUAAGAUUCAGUCCUUAAAAACAAACACACUUAGGCCUCAUUUGUUUGCACUUAAUGGAGGUCUAAAUCUUAAUCAUUCAGAUUCAGCCCAUUAAGUACAUUUGAGUUUUAGGUCUGAAUUUUAGUUAUUCAGAUUCAGCUCAUUAAGUUCGUUUGGUUUAUUUUUUAAAAAGUCUCUUAAUGGGUCUGAAGAGAUCUAAAUGAAUCAUAUUUGUAGGAGUCUCUUAACAACAUUCAGACUCAUUUAAAUAAGUUAUCAAAUAAUAAAUCACCGCUUCUGAAUACACAUAUGAAUAUUAUAUUAAUAAAAUAUUAUUAUAUUUUCAUUUCAACAAAAUGUAUCACUUUUGAUUUAAAAAAAGUUCUAAUAAUCAUGAUUUGGAGUACUAUUUUUUCAUUCAAAAGCCUUGAUAAACAACAAUACACCAAAAAUAUUAUUGCGACCAAGUGUUCUUGACACACAUCAAUACAAGAAAUUUUUAUGAAAACUUACCGGUUGGGAAAAAUGGUAUAUGAUUGAGAAAAGUGAAAAAUAGAGUUUUUAGUUAUGAGAUAAAAAGACACAUCUAAAGUAGAAAGCUACAAUUUAUUAUUUAAUAACUUAUCAAAUGAGUCUGAAUGUUAUUAAGAAUGUCCUACAGAUCUGAUUCGUUCAGAUCUCUUCAGACCCAUUAAGAGAUUUUUCCAAAAAUAAAAUAAAUGAACUUAAUGGACUAAUUAAGAUUCUGACCUCCAUUAAGUGCAAACAAAUGAGGCCUAAAAGAUUUUCUAUCUUUUUGAAAAUCCAAAGAAGAAUACACAACAUUAUUUGAUUAUAGAAUUGACCAAUUUGUUAAUGUAAUACUAAUGCAGCACAUAAUCAGAUGAAGAACUCAGACAAUGUUUCCCUUACCUAAGGAACUAAUGUUGACAUAGAAGCAACUACAAAUCAAGUUGAGAAUAUACCAUUUUCCGCCGCCUAUAGGGGAUUGAUAGAUGGUCAAAUAUCACACACAGAGCCAAAGAGUUUUAGGCAUAUGUAAACAGAAGAACCAUAAAUGAACAAGUCGAAAAAACAAUUUUGAGUAUAGCAUAGAACUUUAGAAGCAACAUUUCUUUUCCGAUACAAUACAUGAAAAUUCUUGGAUUGGUAAAGCAGGAAGAAAAAUUGGCUGAUGUAGAAGGUUUAUUUGUUAUCAUCAACCACACAGUUUACAUACUCAGGCAGACUGACUUCAACGCCUAUAGUAAGAAGCGCUUAUAGCAAGUGUUAGCUCUAUUUAUCUUUCUAAACCGACAUCUCUUCAAAUUGGAAAACUAACUAUUUGGUAUUAGUUGAAGUAUUCACCUUUUCAUUUUAGAGUUUACUAAUUCUCAAGUUCAAAUUCUUGAUUUUGACUACUAUAAGUUAUGAAUUUAAUUAAGAUCGCAUGAUCCUAGGAUAUGAUUUGAGUAUCAAAAGUUUAAGCUUGUUCACAUCAGUUAACUCACCAUGGCUCGGCAGAAGCAGAGAGACAAGAGCUGCAAAGUUUGUGAAGAGACUGGUUGUUGCAGCAGAUUCUCAAAGACAAAUACUAGAGCUGUGACCUUUGUUUCUUAGAAGAAGAGCAUCUGGCAUCAUCAUACUGACCCCUCCUUUUCACGAUGCAGUGUUCUGUUGGUUCAUCAUUAUUUCCCGUCAUUUCACACAGGGCCUUGAGCUUAGAUUCAUCUUUAUACAGCAAACGAAGUCCAAACUCCUUCAACUCUUCCGAAAAAGAUAACUUUAUGUGCCUAUAAUCAUUUGGUGUUUUUCCGUUUGCCUUAGAUAUAUCCCACAAUCCAGCAAGAGGUACCAAGAAAAAAUGAAUAGCAGAUUCUGGAAAUCCUUCUGACUGAUUGGAUAAGGCAAGUGACUGCGUGAUACACGGCAUCAUUUUAUCACAUAACAAUUGAGCUGUGGUGUCUAUUAAGCAGCCAGAGUAACAUACAGCAAAUCCCAAGAAGUUAUCACAUGCAUACCAAUUUUCAGGCAAUUCGACUGAUGUACUUUUAUCUUUUCCCUUAUGGUGGAACCAUCUUGGGAUAUUUUUCCACUCAUUGGUAAACACUCUGAGUGACAAGGAAUCUGAAGCACAGAUGUCAUGCUGGACUGAUGAGAUAUUCUGAAACAAUGAAUUACAGAUUGAAUCAUUGCUCCAAUCGGCGUAUAUUGUGUCUAAUUGCCGUGGAAAUUCUGGCAGUUGUGUAAGCUUCUUGCAAUCUAAUAAGUCCAAGGAUUGAAGAGCACAAAGUCGGGCUAUGCUUUGAGGCAAAUGCUCGAAAUUAUUUCCCCUCAGAUUCAACGCUUUCAAACAGUGUAGGCAUCCAAUGUCUAUCGGAAGUCCUUCAUUUAUUAGAUUGCAGUAACUGAGAUCCAGAUGUUCCAAUGAGCGCAAUCCUUCAUUCACUCGAGGGAAUGAAAAGUACACUCCGUUUUCGAGGCCUACUUCUGAUUUUUGUUUUGCAAAAGUCAAAACUUUAAGCCUGUUCAAGCGGACGAUGGAAGACGGAGGUUGUGAGAUUAGAGUACAUCUGGCCUCAAGUAUCUCCAGGUUUUCUAAAUCACCUAUCUCUUUUGGCAAGAUUUUGAGUUUUGAGCAGUCGGACACUUUUAGCUUUACCAAACGUUUUAACUCGCCAAUGCUGCUUGGAAGUGUUGCAAGGUUUUGCAUGCCAAUCAAAUCUAGUUCUGUAAGACAAGACUGGUGCUGAAUAAUAGCUGAUGGUAGUUUCCUUAUCCCAGAACGUUGCACUUGAAUCUUUAUCUCUGGCUUCAAUUUUCCCCGGAUCUUCGGGAAUUUCUCUAAAUUAGAGCAACCUUGUAGAUAUAGACAUUCAAGAGAUUCCCAGCAAACAUAGCUAAAACUCUCGAGGCUUUUACAGUCUCUCAAAUUUAACUUAUUGAGUUUUUUGGAACAUCUCAAGGAAUGGUGAACCUCUUUAAGAUUGGUACACUCUUUUAGACCCAAAUACUCCAAAUUUGGCAUAUCCGAGAAAUCUGGUGUUCGCCUCAAGUUAGCACAGCGGCUGAGAACCAGCCUCCGUAGAAAAGGAAAUUUCUGCUAUUCAAAACAGUAAAAGAAUGAGGUAGGAAAAUAAGAAAUGUUAGGUAAAAGAAUAAUCAUAUAAUUAGGGUGGAUUUAGAUUUGGCUAGUGGCUAUUUGUGAAUCUACAAACUAUUGUGUUUCAUUUCUUCUUCGUUUUUCAAAAGCUACUAAAUUCACGUGAACUUGUAAUAAGCCUUUGGAUCUGCCCCUGGCUAAAGAUAAAAGUAUUUGAUUCUUUAAAAAGUCUAAUCGGGAUACAUUAGGUGUGUUUUUGACCAUUAACUCAUCAAUAAAAGGUGUAUCUAUGGUCCAGUUGAGAUGUAUAUCCAAAAGUUAUUGUCAACUUUGAGUGUCUAUCUAUGUAUUUGAUCAAAAUAAAAAUAAAAUUGAAUUCAGUUAUUUUACCUUUGUUCCGGUCCAUAAAUGAAACAGUGAACUCUGCUGGAGAUCAAGAUGAACAAGCAUGUCAGGAUCAAAUUUGGCUGGCAAUGAUUCCCAAGGAUACUUACAACAGUCGAACCAACGCAAGUUGCUGGGAAGGUACUGAUCGUUGGAGCUAUCAUGUGUAUGAAAACCAUUGAUGUAUAAUAUCCUAAGCUUUUCCACGUCUUUCAUGGCCUUUUUUUUAAAGCUUAGGUCUUGAAUUUCUGGUAUCCAGAUUGUUUCGAUUGCCUUGGUCCCCUGACAAAAGAAUCAUUAGUCUACAAAGUAUAACUUCAAAUAUCUGCAUAAAUAAAAUCCGCACUCAGUAUGACUACUUUCUCACUUCUCGCAAUGCCAAAUUUCUCAUGUUCCGUUUAUUUACUAUUGCACUUGAAGUUCUUGAAUAACUAGUGCCACUAGAAAAAUCAAGGUACAAUAUUAGUCAGGUCUUUCUCAAGAAAUAUGUUGCUUAAGAGAAAUACUUUGAGCAAUUAAUUUUGUAAAGAAGUACAUUUUCUUGAGAAGUUCUUUAAAAUCGAGUCGAAAAGUUUUUCACAUUGUGAUAGAAGGAAACUGUAAUUUAAAUAAAACCAGUAAUUGUCAUCUUUCAAACAAAAAGUAAUCGAUGAACAAGUGCCUAACAGACCGAGGAUUGAUAAGGUAAGUUUUGGCCCCCACUUACUUGUAUUUUUGCAUUUGAGAAUUUUUCGAAAUCUUGAGUGAGCCAUAGUCUGCUGAGUUCUCCCCUUUCCUUUUGCAAUGUCACUAUGUAUUUUCCCAUCUCUUGUAUUAACUCAUGCAUUUGAAUUAUAUCAUUUUCAGAGAUGAACACAAGAGACUUGUCAAUUAGCACCCUCAAUCCGUCAUCAGCUCCAAAAUCACAGCUCUCAAGAAUUUGCUUGACUUUGGUUUGUUUUUUCCCUCUUAAGAAGCAUGCAAUAUCUAGAAAUAUCUCUUGAUCUUCACGCUCCAACCCAUCAUAACUUACUUUGAGGUUUUCAACAACUUUUGAACUAGAGUUCCUCUUUAUUCGAUCAACAGCACUUCUCCACACGUGUAUAUCCUUCUUAUGUAAGGAAGAACCCCACACUUUCAGGGCUAAAGGAAGGCCUUCUGCAUGACUUACUACCUCCAACGUUAUCUCCUCGAAACACUUAUCUGGAACUUCAUUUUUGAAAGCAUAUUGGUUGAACAACUGAAUAGCAUCAUGUUCAAGUAGUGUAGUCAUAGGAUAUACAGCAUCGUUUUUUCCUAUGAAAUGUUUGUCCCUAGUUGUUGCAAUAAUUCUGCUGCCAUUACCAAACCAAUCAAGAUCCCCUGCAAGGUAAUCCAAUUGGUCUUCAUGAUCUAUGUUAUCAAGCACAACUAGAACCUUCUUCAAACGAAGUCUACGAGCCAUCAGGUGCCUCCCUUCCUCCUUAUCAUGCACACUUUCUUUUUCCCCAACCAGUUUAGAGAGAAGAAUACUUUGCAGAGAAUGUAUUUCAUACUUGUUUUCUUUAUUGUACGGAAGGAAACAAGCCCCGUCAAAUUUAAAUUUAGAUGAGAGUAAAUCAAAAAUAGCUCUAGCUAUAGUCGUUUUACCAACUCCCACCAUUCCCCAGAUCCACACAAUCCGAACAUCAUUUGCUUUCAUCUCUAGAAGGGAGUUGACUUUCUUUAAAUGAGCAUCUAUUCCCACAACAUCUGUCAAAUAAGAUAAAGAAGUCUCACGUAAUUUGGGCGAAAUUCUAUUAACAAGAUCCCCAAUACAUUCAGAUUCAAUCCUACAAAAAGAGUUACAACAUUAUUGAUAUAUACAGAUAAGAGAGACAAGAAUAAGCUUUUCGCAUCCAAACUCACCAAUCGCGGAUAUCAUAUCCUUUUAAAUCUGCGGCAUCUCUUAGAGCAGUCCUCCAUCUUUGCAUCUUUUGGAUUCCUUCAUCAUCAUUCUCAUACCUCAAUUUGUGUUUGGUAAAUGCGUCUGCAAAGCUUUCACUUUGGUUUCGAACAUGUGAUGAAUCCACAUCAUAGAAGACUGGUAUGACUAAUUGUCCAUCUUUCACGUUGCAUUCCAUGAUCUUCACUAGUUCAUUCAAGCACCACCUCGACUCAGCAUAAUUCUUUGAGAAAAUGAUUACGGCAACUUGAGACUCUUCUAUAGCUUUCACUAGUUCUUUUGAGAGGGAAUCACCAUUCUCUAGCCUUUUAUUAUCUAGAAAGGUGAUUAUUCCCCUGUUAUCCAAACGUUCAUACAAGUGACUCGUAAAAUUUCUGCGAGUAUCUUUGCCUCUAAAACUUAGAAACACAUCGUACUUGUACUUCCGUUGAGGACAUGGAUACUGUGAAUUACUCUCAGAAGAAUAAGAUGAUGAUGCCAUCAUUUCUUGGCAGAUUUGGAAGGUGAAGGGGAGGAAGGAAGUCUUGUCUGGCCAAUGGAGAUCACAAGAGAGAAAAAAUGUUAUUGUUGACCAUGGUUAAAAAUGAUUGUAUUUUAGAAAAUAAAUCUGAACCAUUCAUUAUUUUUUGGAGACAGGUGUCAUAAAAAUACACACCCAACUAGAGAGAUGACAUACUGGAGGGGAGGGGAGCCAAAACCAUUGACUUGAAUCAAUUAUUGCUAUGGUACCAGUCAACUGGUAAGCAUUUCCAUUGAAUAAUCAUUCAUAUAAUAAAGUAAGAGACAACUUUCUGUGAAGCUUCUGAAGUGUGAACAUGUUUGUAUGAAACGGUCAAGAGCACACAUCUUAACCAAACUCUUUUUAGAUCCAUUUACUAGCGGUAUGAAUGUUGAGUAAUGGUUAAAACGGAGUAAAUAGAACCAAAUAAAGUGCAGUAAAGAGUAAGGAGUAUAGAUCUGAAUGUUUCAGUGUGUUUGCAAGCAUAUCUGGGAGCACUAAUCUUAGCUCUGAGAGUAUCUUCGUGUGAAUGUGUUAGGCAAGAACUUGGACAAAGUAAAAGUAGACUGGGAUUAAAGAAGAUAAUGUAUUGUUGUUGUAUUGGUAGAAUUUGAAAUUCCUUUACAAAUGUUUGAUGCAAACUAUUUAAAGGUUACAGUGGGGAGGGGCUUUGGCCAAUCCCUUUCAUAAUAAGACCAAUGAUAAAACACCAGGUGGUGGUACCGUUAAUAAUGCCAGCUAAUAUUCCUAUAGAGCUCAAAUUCGUACAAGGCUCGUCAGCGCACCUGAAUCUCCCAACAUCUUCUCUCCCUUGUCUCAUUGUCCUUCAGAUUCAUCUGUUCUAUCUUCAAUUCAUUCCCAGAGGAUGUCUUCUUGAAGGCUCUUUGGUGUGCUCUCGGGUGACCUGUUUUCCGAGCCUUCUCUUGUAACCUCCCUUGUUUUGUCUCCUUCCAUGCCACAUGUACCUGGACAAGUUUAAUACACAGAGAUUGUGGUUGUUAUAAGAGAUAAAAUUGAUGGUAUUUGGUACAAAGUUUAUAUAAAGAAAGUCAACUUGUAUAUAUGCUGUAGAGAGUAGGAAAUUUUUGUCAUAGAAUUACACCUACCUACCUUAAGUGGCUCCAUACUCCAGAGUAAUUUGUACACAAUGCACAACUAAAAGUACAAGCUGAUGAAGCUGCAAGGAAAAAGAAGAAUAAUUUCUUUGUCGCUGACAGAACAGUUUGACUUCACUCAUGUUUGUCUCGAUUGAUAACUGUUUUUUUUUUGGUAGACAAGAUAGUAUGUUAAACACGCUGGCUAUUACAGAGUGGUUACAUAGCUGGGUUGACCAUUUGUUGAUUGCAUAGUAGAAUUAGAUAAAGCAGUGGGAGCAAAAGUAAUAGCACUAGCACUAGCACUAGGAAGGGUUAUUUACAACUCCAGAAGGGGGAAACUAUGCUGACUAGUGACUAUGUGCUUUUUACGCAGGUAAACAGUGCCUGCUUUAUCAGCGUGGAGUGCAUUGGUAAUGCAAUCUGGAGCUUGGUCAAAAACUUGUAGUGAACACCCUGGUGGUUGUUGGGAUUGCCAUCCCGUUCUAAUUCUCCAAUUCUGAGAUGACAAAUUUCCAGUACUUUUAUUGAUUUUUUGGUUGUUACCAUAAUACUGGAUUGGAUUGAUCAGUUUCGGUGUUUUGUUCCUAACCACCAACUAUUUCUACCACAUGUAGAUUUGAAAGUGGAACAAUAUCAAAACUCUAUGCUUGCUUGACGUUAACAGAAAGCACUUGAGCUCUACAUCCGAAGGAAGAAUAGUUACUCUACCACCAGAUCUCCAUUUGGUUCCUGGAUAUAGUUUCCCUUUGGUCCGUUUGCUUUGUGAUGUGAGGUGACUUACUGAUAGUUCCAUGGAUUCUCACCCACCCGUUUUGGCAAAGUUUUCUUGCUUCUCGCACAUUUAUCUGCAAUAGGAUUAUGGACAGGCUAAUCAUCAGCAAAUGUGAAGAUGUGAUUCUAUAUCAUAAUGAAAUGUGGCAUUCUGGUCUAAGAGAGGUGUAGUGUGACGUCUACUAAUAUGACAAGUAUAUAAUGAUUUGAAGAGAACGUAUUAUUGCAUACUUCUCAGGCCAAGACACUAGUAAUUCACAUAAUUGGUUUGUGAGUACUUUUAGGUACUAACUGAAUUAAUGUUGCGUGAUUCCAGGAUCUGAUUUGAGCAUCGAAAAUUUGAACUUGUUAGCCUAUAACUCACCUUGGUUAAUCAUGGUUCACACAAGCGGAUAUAAUAUGAAGAAUCAGUUGACGAAACUCACUGAAAAUAUGUAAAUCAAUGAUUGAAGAGCUCCUGUCAAUAAAGGAAAGAAGAAAGAAAACAAAAGGGUAAAAAAGAAUCAGUAUAAAAAAUUGUCAAUUUUGGAAGAAGAUUUUGUAGAUAAUAGGAGAGAAUACAGUUUCACAACAAACUAGGGAAAAAGAAAAUCAUGAGGCAUAUUACCUAUACUUAAGAAAUGUGACCUUCUAAUGUUAUUGACUAUUCGACAUCAACUGGCUUCAUUGGACAACGGAGUCAUGAGUUCUAUAUCUGUUGGUUCAUCAUCAUUUUCUCUCAUUUGUAAUAAUGCAUCAGUUGCUGCCAAUAUGGAAUUCACACUGCAUCAAAUGGAUGUGUAGAGUGCCUUCCUGAAUGAGUUAUUAAAGGAGGUUAAAUGGGGAGGGGUUCAAAUUUCGGAUAGAGGGAUUAAGUGCCAAACUGAGUCAUCCCACAUAAAGCUUUUAAAGUUAUGUAAUGUUUUAGAAACUUCUGGUUUUUCUAAAAUGAAUUUAUUUUGCAAGUAAAAUGGUGAAUAUCAGUUUCUGAUGAAGAGCAUACAAGAGUAGGUUCUUUCUGAUUAGAUAGCCAUCACAAUAGUAAGCAUUUGUGGCAUUCAAGUUAGUUCUAUAAAUUAAAAUUCAAGUUAAGUUCUACAAGUGAAAUCCAGAUUGCUCACUUUGUCAACAUCUUCAGAGUUUAGUCUCUUGCUCCUGCUUAGUUAACUGUGGCAACUGCCACAUAAACUCCCCAGCAGCUGCACAGGCCUCAAAACCCCACCAAAAUUUACUUCAUGGAGGAAAAACUAGUUCUGUAACUAAUGCUGCACAUAAUUAAAUGAAGAACUAAGAGAAUGAUUCCCUCACUUGAGGAAUUAAUGUUGAUAUAUAAGCAUCUACAGAUUAAGUUGAGAACUAUCCCAUUUUUUGCCUAAUAUAGGGGAUUGAUGCGCAAACAUCACACAGCAAAGCCAAAGCAAAGACUCCGAUUGCGGAUUGCCCAAUUCGAACAAUGGAAAUAGCAAAUGAAGUUUUCAUCAGCUAAAAAAUGAUACUUCAAAGUGAAUAUGAUAUUUGAUUCUGAGGAGAAACCUAGUCCUUCAUUCUCACUGGAAAACGUGAGUGAACUAAUUAAAGAAACCAAAAAUACUUGAUUUCAGCAAAUCACUUUAGAGCCAAUUAAAUUGUAAAAAGAACCACAAAUGAACAAGUCGACAUUACAAAUUUGAGUAUAAUAUAGAACUUAAGAGAAAUUUGUUUCUAAUACUCUAAAGAGACGUUUGGUGUGAGGUAUAAUGUACAAUAUUCUCGAGAUACAAUGCAGGAUAUUUUUAUACUGUUUUUGGUUGGAGGUAUUAGGUAGCCUUUGAAUUAUUUAUCCCACCAUUUAUACUAUAUUGAUGGGAUAACUUAUCCAUAGACAUAGUGGAAUAACUUACUCCGGGAUAACUUAUCCCAACCAAAUGACCUUAUAGGGUUGUUUGGUACGAGGGAUAAGAGAUAAAAAUACCUGGAUAAACGCAUGAUUAUUUAUUCUAUGUUUGGUUAAGGGUAUCAGUUCGGGAUUAUUUAUCCCCUAUUUGUACUAAAAUGAUAGAAUAAGUUAUACUAUAUAAAUUGGGGGUUAACUAAUCCCUUGGGAUAUCCCAAUCCAUGAGAUAUCGUUGUCUAUCCCAUCCCCAUACUUAACAACCCUUAAAAUGUUUACUAAUUUUCAUGUUCAGAUUCUUGAUUUGCGGGUACCUAUCGUGAAAAAAAAAUCUUCACUUGUGAGCACUUUUAAGGCAAGAAUCCAGGAUCUCAUUUGAAUAUCAAGAAAUUAAACUUGCUCACAUCCUUCAACUCACCUUGGUUAAUCAUAUGGCUUAACACAAGAUGGAGAAUCAAUCGACAAAACUCACAGUUGAUAUGUAUAUCACCAUUGAUGAGCUCAUGUCAAUACGGGAAAGAAUAAAGAACAAAAAGGAAAAGAAAUGAAAAAAAAUUAUUAACAGAAUUGGAAGAAGACCUUGUAGGUUGUAGCUAAUAGAACAGAAUUACAUAAAAGGAGUUGAACUGAAUUUCACUACCAACUAGGGAAAAAAAUUAAUCAUGAGGUAUAUUACCUAUAUUUAAGCCAAAAUUCUGGGUUUCGGGGAAAGAGCUGCAAAGUUUCUGAAGAAACUGGUUGUUGCUGCAGAUUCUCAAAGACAGGUCCAAUGAAUGAAUAUUAGAAAUGUGACCUUUGUUUCUUAGAAGAGGAGCAGCCGACUUCAUCAUGGUGUUCACUAUCGUCAGAUCUGUUCCUCUUUGUCCCAAUGCAAUGUUCUGUUGGUUCAUCUUUAUACAACAUACGAAAUCCAAACUCCUUCAUUUCUCCGGAGAACAAUAACUUAAUAAGCCCAUAGUCAUUUGGUGUUUUCCCAUUUGCCUUAGAUGUUUCCCAUAAGCCAGCAAGAGGUACCAAGAAAAAAUGAAUAGUAGGUUCAGUAUCACAUUCUAAACCGCUGGAUGAUUCUGAAUCAUAAUUUGGAAGGGUGGAUAAUUCUAGUUUCUGGGUCAUCCGAUCAUCACACAAGGGAAUCAAGUCAACUGUGAUGUCAAUUAGGUUGCCAGAGUAACAUACAGCAAAUCCCAAAAAGUUAUCACUUACAUACCAAUUUUCAGGCAAAUUGAUCGAUACACUUUCAUUUAUUCCCUGAUGGUGGAACCAACUUGGGAUCUUAUUCCCACCAUGCACAAUGGUAAACACUCUUUGUGACAAGGAAUCUGAAGCAGAGAUGGCAUUCGACAAGGAAACGAUAUCCUGAGACAAAGAACGCGGAAGUGAAAUAUACAUGGAAUUUAGAUCCCUCAUCACACUGUCUAACAAGUGAAUAUCCGACUUCAGUUUCAUGCUUGCGAGGAUUUCUGGAAAAUUUUCUAAACUAGAGCACCCCUCUAGAUUCAGAUAUUCAAGGGAAUCGAUGCACAGAACUCGAAACCUCUUGAGCCAUUUACAAUUAGUCAAUUUUAAUGUACAGAGCUUUUUGAGACAUCCCAGGGAAUGAUGAACCUCUUCAAGAUUCAUACAAUUUGACAGAUUCAAAGUCUCCAAGUUUUGCAUCCCACCGAAACCUGGCAACUCUUUAAGCCUCUUGCAAUAUGAUAGGUCCAAGGAUCGAAGAGCACCAAGUUGGGCUAUGCUUUGAGGCAAAUGCUCAAAAUUAUUUCCACAGAGACAUAACUCGUUCAAAGAGGAUAAGUAUCCAAUGUCUUGCGGAAGCCCUCCAUCUAUUAGAUUGCAGUAGCUGAGAUUCAGAAUCUCCAACAAGCGUAAUCCAUCAGACACUGGAGGGAAAACAAAGCAAACUCCAUCUUCGAGGCCUACUUCUGAUUCUUGUUUUGCGAACCGCAAGAAAUGAAGCUUGUUCAAAUGGACUAUGGAGCGCGGAGGUUGUGAAAUUAGAGUAUCUUUGGCAUCAAGCCACUCCAAGUUUUCUAAAUCCCCUAUCUCUUUUGGAAAGCUUUCAAGUUUUGAGCAUGCCGAGACAUUUAGCUCCACCAAAUUUUUCAACUUACAAAUAGUGCUCGGAAGUGUUACAAGGUUUUCUAAACCUCUCAAAUCUAGGCACCUUAUCCCACUCUUUAACUUCAAAUUCAUGCUUCCGGUGAUUUCUGGAAAAUUUUCUAAACUAGAGCACCCCUCCAGAUUCAGAUAUUCAAGGGAGUCGAUGCACAAAACUGGAAACCUCUUGAUUCUUUCACAAUUAGUCAAUUUUAAUGAACAGAGCUUUUCAAGAAAUCCCAGGGAAUGAUGAACCUCUUCAAGAUUCAUACAAUUUGACAGAUUCAAAGUCUCCAAGUAUGGGAUCCCCAUGAAACCUGGCAACUCUUUGAGCCUCUUGCAAUCUGAUAAGUUCAAGAAUCGAAGAGCGCCAAGUUGUGCUAUGCUUCGAGGCAAAUGCUCGAAAUUAUUUCCACAGAGAUACAACUCUUUCAAAGAGCGUAGGCAACCAAUAUCUUCUGGAAGUCCUCCAUCUAUUAGAUUGCAGUAACUGAGAUCUAGAUGUUCCAAUGACCGUAACCCUUCAUCCACUUGAGGGAACACAAAGUUCACUCCAUCUACGAAACCUCCUCCAGAAUUUCGUUUUGCAAAACUCAAAAAUUUAAGCUUGUUCAACUGGACAAUGGAAAAUGGAGGUUGUGAGAUUAGAGUACCUCUAGCAUCAAGAUUCUCCAAGUUUUUUAAAUCCCCUAUCUCUUCUGGAAAGUUUUUAAGCUUAGAGCAAUCCGACACAUUUAGGCUGACCAAACUUUCCAACUUACAAAUGCUGCUUGGAAGUGUUGCAAGGUUUUCAAAACCUCUAAAACCUAGAGCCCUUAUUACACUGUCGAGCAUGUGAAUCUCUAACUCCGCUUUCAUGCUACCGAGUAUUACCGGAAUUUUCUCUAAACUAGAGCAAUCCCGUAAACACAAAUAGUCAAGAGAAUCGAUGCACAGAGCUGGAAACCUCUUAAGCCGUUUACAAUUAGUCAAUUUUAAUGUACAGAGCUUUCUGAGAAGUCCCAGGGAAUGAUGAACCUCUUCAAGAUUUAUACAAUUUGACAGAUUCAAAGUCUCCAAGUUUUGCAUCCCCAUGAAACCUGGCAAAUCUUUAAGCCUCUUGCAAUAUGAUAGGUCCAAAGAUCGAAGAGCACCAAGUUGGGCUAUGCUUUGAGGUAAAUGCCCAAUGUUAUUUAUACUGAGAUUCAAAGUCACCAAGUUUGGCAUCCCCAUGAAACCUGGCAACUCUUUAAGCCUCUUGCACUCUUUUAAGUCCAAGGAUCGAAGAGCACCAAGUUGUGCUAUGCUUUGAGGCAGAUGCUCAAAAUUGUUUCCGCUGAGAUUCAACUCUUUCAAAGAAGAUAAGGAUCCAAUGUCUUCCGGAAGUCCUCCAUCUAUUAAAUUGCAGUAACUGAGAUCCAGAUCUUCCAAUGAGCGUAACCCUUCAUUCACUUGAGGGAACACAAAGUACACUCCAUCUUCGAGGCUUACGCUAUAUCUUUGUUUUGCAAAACUCAUGAAUUUAAGCUUGUUCAAGCAAACGACGGAAGACGGAGGUCGUGAAAUUAGAGUCCCUGUGGCAUCAAGCUUCUCCAAGUUUACUAAAUCUCCUAGAUCUUCUGGCAAGCUUUCAAGUUUAUAGCAAUUCGACACAUCUAGAAUAACCAAACCUUUCAACAUGCCCAUGCUGCUCGGAAGAGAUACAAGGCUUUCUAAGUGUCUCAGAGUUAGCCACUGAACAAUAUAUGAUGGUAGUUCCCUCAUCUCAGAGUCCCACAUCUUAAUCUCUAAGCUCGGCUUCGUUCUUCCGCGGAUUUCUGGAAAUUUCUCUAAACGAGAGCAAAACUUUAGAUCCAGAUAUUCAAGAGAUUCCACGUUAACACAUGGAAACCUCUUAAGGCGUUUACAAUAUAUCAAAUUUAACCUCUUGAGCUUUGUGGGACAUCCCAGGGAAUGGUGAACCUCUUCAAGAUUAACACAAUUGCCCAAAUCCAAAUACUCCAAAUUUGGCAUCUCCGUGAAAUCUGGUGUUUGCGUCAGGUCUCUAGAGCGGCUGAGAUCUAGGAUCCUUAGAUACGGAAACUGCUGCAAUUCGGAACAGAAAAAGGAUCAGAAAAGAAAACAAGAAUGGCCAGGUAAAAGAAUCUGUAAAAGAAAAAUUGGCUGAAAUUAAAGUGCAUUUAUCCGAAUAAGAAGAAGAUUUAGCCAAGAUAGUAGAGUUCCAACAAUGUUUUCUUUUAAUUUUGUCUUUAGAUGCAACGACUAUUUAUUUUAACAUUGUGCUUUUCUACAAAAUAAUUGUACAUAAUUUGCCCUUUAUGUUUUAAUAACAAGUAUCCGUUCUGUCCCACAACAUACAAUCUUAGGAUGAGAUUCAUAUCUUGCUAGGGAAAUAUUUGUAUGACUUAGCUUCUUAUAAUUUAAAAUUAUGAUAGGAAGAUUUUUGGGAGAUAAAUGACAUAAAGAUCUUACAAUAAUUGAUAUGAGAACAACCCAAAUUAUAUGAAAUAUAUUAAUAUGAGUCCACGGAUUUAAUGACUUUUAUUUGUUUAAAGACUUGCAUCAUAGUUUUAGAACAAGCUAAAAUAUAAAAUAGAUCAAAUAAAACAAGCUCAAAGAAGUAGUAUUUGCUCAUCACUAAAGGACAAAGAUAGUUAGAGAGAAAUUAAAAAGAAACAAGAAAUUAAUUAUUGUACCUUUAUUCCCAUCCAUAAAUGACGCAGUGAACUGAAGCGGAGUUGAAAAUGAACAAGCCUUUUGGGUUCAAAAUUUUCUGGCAAUGACUCCCAAGGAAAGUGAUUCCAGACAAACCAACACAAGUUGUUGGGCAAGUACUCAAUGGAGCCAUCAUGGCAAGGGGAGCAAUCUUGGGACCAUAUGCAUAAUAUCCUAAGUUUUUCCAUAUUUUCCAGGGCCUCCUUGCUAAAGCUUAUUUUCUCAUCAUAACGAAACCAGAUUGCUUCCAUUGCCUUGGUCCCCUGGUAAAAAAGAUCAUUGCUUUACAAAAAUAUAACUUCAAAUGUCAUAUAAAAUUCAAUUGCCAUAUGAUUACUUCCUCAAUCCUUGCAGUGCCAAAUUAGCGUACAAUAUUUGUUAGGUCUCUUAAACGAAAUUUGUUGCUUAAGAGAAGUACUUUGUGCAUUUAGUUCAACAGUUCUAUUUUCUAAUGGAGUUGUACAUUUUCUGAAAGGUGCUUUGAAGUCAAGUGAGAGUUUUUUCAUGCAGUGAUAGAAUAAAAUUGUGAAGUAGUAGUGCCAAUCACUUGUAAUUUCAACAGUAAAGUGUAUUCCUGAUUGAGUUAUAUAAUCUCAUACAAAAUUCAAGUUAUUUCAAAAAAGGAAGCUGGUUUAAACAGAGUAAGUGGCUACUAGAGUAAAUUGUGGCUUAGUAACAUAAGAAAAAACAAAUUAGGCAGUGGUAAUUAAAGGGGCUACUUGACGAACUAGGCGGUGUUAGAUAAUUAAUGUUACUUGCUUCUACUACUAAAGUAAAAAACUGAUGUGACUUAAGUGCGGAAAUAUGAAGUAAGAAGAACAAAUAAUCGAAUUGACCCUACAUAUGUCUUUGGAAUAUGAAAACUAGAAAUCGAAAACUACAGUAUUGUUUAGCCUACUUACUGUAUUGUUGACCAUCAGUUCUUCAAAAUCUUCAUACUCCCAUAUUCUGCUACAUUCGCCUGCAUCCUUUUGAAUUUUCACUAUAUAUUUACCCAUAUCUUGUAUUAAGUCAUGCAUUUGAAUUGUAUCAUCUUCAGUUAAGAAGACAAGAGAUUUUUCAAUUAGGACAUCCAAUCCAUAUUCAGGUCCAAAAUCACAGCUCUCAAAUAUUUGCAUGACUUUCUUUUUUUCAUCUCCUCGGAAAAAACAAGCUAUAUCUAGAAACAUCUCUUGUUCUUUGGGCUCCAACCCAUCAUAACUAAUUUUGAGUUUUUCAACAAUUUCCGAACUAUAGUUUUUCUUUAUUUUGUCUACAGUUCUUCUCCAUUGAGUUAGGCCUUUCCUAUGCAACAAAGAACCCCACACCUUGAGGGCUAACGGAAGGCCUUUAGCAUGAUGUACUACCUCCAACGAGAAGUUCUCAUAACGCCCAUCUGGAACUUCUUUUUUGAAAGCAUACUGAUUGAACAGUUGCAUAGCUUCAAGAUUAGGUAGUGUGGGCACUUCAUAUAUUGCAGCAGCAUCCUUCUCUAUCAAAGCUCUAUUUCUAGUUGUUACAACAACUCUGCUGCCAUUACCAAACCAACCAACAUCACCUGCUAAAUACUCUAAAUGAUCUCUUUCAUCGAUGUCAUCAAGCACAAUUAGCACCUUCAUCGAAGAAAGUCUGCUCAGAAUCAUGGACUUCCCAUCAUACUUAUUAUUGACGUAAUCAUCUGUUUCUCCUAACAGUUCAGAGAGAAGAGUAUUUUGUAAAUAAUGCAGUUGAUUCUUUUUGGCAUUUUCUUUAACAUCCUCGAGAAAACAAGCAGCUUUAAAUUGAUAAGAUAGAGUAUGAAACAUGGCUUUUGCUAUUGUUGUUUUACCGAUUCCACCUGUUCCCCAGAUCCCUACAAUCCGGACAUCAUCAAUUUCGAUUUCAAGUCGGGAUUUUAGUUUCUCUAAAUGAGCAUGUAUUCCCACAACAUCAUUCAAAGAAGAUAAAGAAUAAGCACUAUUGCAUAAUUUGAAAGAGAUGUGGUCGACGAUCUGCUGAAUAUUCUCAGAUUCAAUCCUACAUAAAUAAGAAGAUUGAUUGUGGAAAAUGUGAGAAAGUCAAGUAUAAGUAAGUAUUUCAUACUUUUAAGGGUAAUUACAACAAUCUAUAUGGAAGUUGCAGAACUUGCAUAGUUUAUGAAGAUUUUUAUGUAUUCUCUCUAAUGAAAUUGAUAGGAAUAUGCCUUCUUACUGAUAGGAACAUAUAUAAUCUACCAUCAUUCUUUUGUGUUUUUAAUUGAUAGGACUAUGCCUUCUUACUGAUAAAACUGAACUCUUGAAGAACCAAUCAAGAUAUUAUCUACCUAACAAUGUCAUUAGCAAUAAAACUAAUAGGAAUUAUGCCUUCCUACAGAUCGAAAUAUAUAAUUAUUCUAUUUUUAGAAAAUAUGAAAAGAUAAUUUAAGAAAUAUAUAAUCAUUCUGUUUGACUCAGUUUUGUAGGUAGUUUUCACAGAUGCAUCCAAAUUUGAAUGGAGAUAAUUUUUCUUUUUUCAUUUAAAGCAAUUAUGUAUUUUUAACUCACCCAUCACGGAUAUCGUAUCCUUUUAGAUCUGCGGCAGCAGUUAGGGCAUUCCUCCAUCGUUUCACCUUCUGCAUUCCUUCAGCAUCAUCCUUAUACAUCGAUUCAUGUUUGGCAAAGGCUUCUUCUAAGCUCUCUCUUUGAUUCCGAACAUGUGAUGGAUCCACAUCAUAGAACACCGGUAUGACAGUUUGUCCAUUUUCUUCCUUGCAUUCCAUGAUCUUCACUAGUUCAUUCAAGCACCACACUGAUGUAGCAUAAUUCUUUGAGAAAACUAUAAGAGCAACUUGAGACUCUUCGAUACCUUUCAAGAGUUCUUGGAUCGAAUCACCAAGCUCUAGCCUUUCAUCACCUUGAAAGGUGAAUAUUCCCCUGUUUUUCAAACCUUGGUACAAGUGACUCAUAAAUGUUCUGCGAGUAUCUUCACCUCUAAAACUUAGAAAGACAUCGUACUUCCAUUGAGGCAACUGUAACGAUCUAGCAGAAGAAGAAGAUGAUGCCAUGGAUUCAUUAUUUUCCCUUAUUUGUAACAAGCCCUCAAGAUUUGGUUCUUGUUUAUACAACAAACGAAAUCCAAACUUCUUUUCUCCAGAAAAAGAUAUUGUAAUAGGCCCAUUUGGUGUUUCUCCAAUUGCCUUAGAUGUAUCCCAUAAUCCAGCAAAAGGUACCAAGAAAAAAUGAAGAGCAGUUUCUGGAAAUUCUUCUGAAUGGUUGGAUAAGGCAAGUUUCUGGGUCAUCAACGACAUCCCAUCAUCACAUAAGGGAAUAAAGUCAACUGUGGUGUUACUUAAGUUGCCAGAGAAACAUACAGCAAAUCCCAAGAAGUUAUCCGAUGCAUACCAAUUUUCAGGCAAAUCGACUGAUACACUUCUACCAGUUCCGUGAUAGUGGAACCAACUUGGGAUAUUUUUCCCCCUAGCUGUAAACACUCUUAGUGACAAGGGAUCUGAAGCAGAGAUGUCAUUCUGGAAUGGUGAGAUAUUCUGAAACAACGAAUUACAGAUUGAAUCAUUGCCCCAAUCUGCAUUUAUUGUAUCUAAUUGCUGGGGAAGUUCUGGCAGCUGUGUAAGCUUCUUGCAAUAUGAUAAGGUCAAGGAUUGAAGAGCACCAAGUUGGACUAUGCUUUGAGGCAAAUGCUCAAAAUUAUUUCCAGUGAGAUCUAACACUUUCAACGAGGAUAAGCAUCCAAUGUCUUCUGGAAGUCCUCCAUCUAUUAAAUUGCAGUAACUGAGAUUUAGUUCUUCCAAUGAGAGUAACCCUUCAUUCACCUGAGGGAACAUAAAGUACACUCCAUCUUCUGAUUUACGUUUCGCAAAGGUCAAGAAUUUAAGAUUGUUCAAGCGGACAAUGGAAGACGGAGGUUGUGAAAUUAGAGUCCCUGGGGCAUAAAGUUCCUUCAAGUUUUCUAAAUCAGCUAUCUUUUCUGGCAAGCUUUCAAGUUUUGAGCAGUAGGACACAUCUAGCUUUACCAAACCUUUCAACUCACAAAUGCUGCUUGGAAGAGUUACAAGGUUUUCCAUAUCUCUCAAAUCUAGCACUGUCAGACCAGCUCGGUACUCAAUAAUAGAUGAUGGUAGUUCCAUUAUCCAAGAUCCUUGCAUGUGAAUCACUAACUCUGGCUUCAUUCUUCCGAAGAUUCCUGGAAAUUUCUCUAAACUAUAGCAACCAUCUAGGUUCAGAUAUUCCAUAGAUUCCACAUUGACACAUGGAAACCUCUUUAAGCUUCCACAACUCUGCAAAUUUAACUCAAUGAGUUUUCUGCAACAUACUAGGGAAUGGUGAACCUCUUCAAGACUCGAACAUUCCUCCAAAUUCAAAUACUCCAAAUUUGGCAUCCCUAUAAAAUCUGGUAUUUGCAUCAGGCUUUUGGAGUAGCUAAGAUCCAGCUUCCGUAGAGAUGGCAAAUGCUGCAAAAUUGUCAAAAUACAAAAAGAAUGAGAUAUAUAGGAAAUUAAGUUGCCCCGGAUUUUGAUUUAUCUAGUGGGCUCAUCUAUGAAUCAAAUGAUCUGUGUUUAAUUGAAAAAUUAACUACCAAGUGGAAUAUUUUCGCAUAUCUCUUCUUGCUUCUUCUAUAUAGAAUGCACAUUGCAACCCAAAUUUGUAUGAUUAUUUGCUUUACUUGUGUACUUUUUUUCUUUUGGGGGACCAAAUCCAUAGCAAAGUAACUUGGCUAGAAUGCCAUUGUUUUAGUCGAACAGAAAAGUUAUGCGAAAAUGGAACAGUUCCAACAGCAAACUUCUUUUUCGUUUCGUCUUUAGAUAGAGUGACUAUUUAUUUCAAGUGUAUAUUUUUUGGCGGCAAAAUUUGUAUAUAAAAGAAUUUGGUUGCGAUUCAUUAUUUUCAGUCAAACAAAAACAUUUAGCCAGAAUAAUGAAUUGUGUAAGUUUCUUCUUUAGAUGCAAUGACUAUUUAUUCUAAUUGUGGAUUGAUUUGUGUAUUUUUUUUCCAGUCCAUAUCUGUAAAAACAGUUGGUUGACAUUUCAUUACUUUAAAAAAAAAAACUUGGGAAAGGUUGACAUUUCAUUAUGAUUAUCCACAUAUAAAAAAUUAGCCCGCGCAGUAGAGUUUCAACUGUGUUUUCUUUUUAUUUCCUCUUUAGAUGCAACCACUAUUUAUUUCAGCACUGUGUUUUUCUUUUCAGGCCAAGCCUGUGGACUCGGCAGGAGGAUAAAUGAUAACAAAGACAGUAAUGAAAACAACAUAAGUUUUUAAAUUGAGCUUCUUAGUUAAAUUAUGAUGCGGAGUUUUAAAGAAAACGACAUAAAGGUAAUAUUAAACACAAGCAUCAUAAUUCAAGGACAAACCAAAAUAGAAAGUAUCUCAAAUAAAACGGUACCUUUGCCUCCGUCCAUAGAUAACAUAGCGAACUCCACCGGAGAUCCAAAUGAACAAGCCUUUGGGGUUCAAAAUUUUUUGGCAAUGAAUACCAAGGGAAGUGAUUCCAGACAAACCAACGCAAGUUGCUGGGCAGGUACUCAAUGGAGCCAUAGGGAACGUCUUCCAAAUCAAUCAAAGAGGGAGGUGAAGAGACGGAAGUUAUCCUAUCAGAUACGUUCCCAUCACAUAUGAAUAAUAUCCUAAGCCUUUUCAUAUUUUCCAUUGCCUUUUUAUUAAUGCAUAGUUGUUCAAAACAAGUUAACCAGAUUGCUUCCACUGCUAUGGUUCCCUGGUAAAAAGAUCAUGGGUCAACAAAUCAGAACUUCAAAUGCCGUAUAUAUUCCGCAAAUUACCAAACUUACUAGGGAAAAUACACUAGUACCCCCUCAACCUAUGCCCGAAAUCUCAGAGACACACUUAUACUAUACUAAGGUCCUAUUAUCCCCCUAAACUAAUUUUAUAAAUAAUUUUCUACUCCUUUUCGGCCUACGUCAAGCUAGUCCACGUAGACCGAAAAUGGGUAGAAAAUUAUUUAUAAAAUAAGUUCAGGGGGGUAAUAAGACCUUAGUAUAGUAUAAGUGUCUCUGGGAUUUCGGGCAUAGGUUGAGGGGGUACUUGUGUAUUUUCCCAAAUUACUAUUUUCUUACUGUACUCACAUGCAAAUUUUUGUCAUGUUUUAUAUUAUUUAUUGUUGCACUUGAAGUUCUUGAAGAGCUAUUUUUAAGGAAAAAAAUUAGGGUACAAUAUUAGUUUGGUCUUUCAUAAGAAAUAUGUCACUUUAGAGAAAUGCUUUGUCGAAUAAUCUAUUUUCUAGUGAUACAUUUUUUGAGAAGUUUUUUAGAGUGAAGUCAAAAAGUUUUUUCAUGCUCUGAUAAAACGAAAUUGUUGAAGUAGUACAAACAAUUGUCAUCUUUUAAAUUAAAAAAAAUAAUCAAUGAUCAAGGAAAUUUCAGACCGGGGAUUGGUAAAAAGGUAAGUUAUGGCCCUCCCUACUUGAAUUAUUUCAUUUGAGGAUUUUUAUAAAUAAAAAGUUACUCGAGGCAAAUAUCUGGGUGAUAUUGGUUUAUAAAACUACUAAUUGAGUUAGUAUGUAAAAAAUAUCGUAGAAUUUACAAGCUAAGCAAAAGAAUGAAAUUGGAUAAAACAGAUUAAGUAGCCAAAGUGAAUAACCUGCAAGAAUAUGAAGCAACAAUAGGAACACAUAAUUGGUAUUGACUUGCCGUAUAUGUUUUUGGAGUAUGCAAACUAGAAAUUGAAUAUUAUUGUAUUGUUUAGCCUACUUACUGUAUUGUUGAUAAUCAGUUCUUUGCAGUCUUCAGCAUCCCAUACUCUGCUACAUUCGCCCCGAUCCUUUUGCAUUUUCACUAUAUACCUACCCAUAUCUUGUACUGAGUCAUACAUUUCAAUUGUAUCAUAUUCAGAGAUGAACACAAGAGAUUUGUCAAUUAGCACUCUCAAUCCAUCUUCAGCUCCAAAAUCACAGCUCUCAAGAAUUUGCUUGAUCUCGGUUUGUUUUUUCCCUCUUAAGAAGCAUGCAAUAUCUAGAAAUAUCUCUUGCUCUUCACGAUCCAACCCAUCAUAACUUAUUAUGAGGUUUUCAACAAUUUUUGAACUAGUGUUUCUCUUUAUUCGGUCUGCAACACUUCUCCACACAGUUAUGUCCUGCUUAUAUAACAAAGAACCCAAUACUUUCAGGGCUAAAGGAAGGCCUUUAGCAUGACCUACUACCUCCAAUGUUAGCUUCUCGAAACACUCAUCUAUUACUUCUUCCUUGAAAGCAUAUUGAUUAAACAGUUGAAUAGCUUCAUGUUCAGCUAAUGUAGUCACUUCAUAAACUACAUUAUUCUUCCCCAUAAUUUGCUUGUCUCUAGUUGUAGCAAUGAUUCUGCUUCCAUUGCCAAACCAACCAAGAUCCCCUGCUAGGUAAUCCAAAUGGUCUUUGUGAUCUAUGUCAUCAAGCACAACUAAAACCUUCUUAAAACGAAGUCUGCGAGCAAUCAGGUGCUUUCCAGCCUCCUUACUGAUCACGUAAUUAGCUUUUUCCCUUAAUAGUUCAGAGAGAAGGAUAUUUUGCAGAUAGUGCAUUCCAUGUUUGUUUUCCUUAAUGUCCGCAAGGAAACAAGAACCAUCGAAUUGAGAUGAGAGUGUAUCGAAAACAGCUCUUGCUAUUGUCGUUUUGCCGACUCCCCCAAUUCCACAAAUCCCCACAAUCCUAACAUCAUCAAUUUCCAUCUCUAGCAGGGACCUUACUUCCUUUAAAUGAGUAUCUAUUCCAACAAUAUCUUGCAAAUAAGAUAAAGAAUUCUUGCAUAAUUUGGAUGAAAUUUCAUUAACAAGAUCCAGAAUACAAUCUGAUUCAAUUCUACAAAAAGUAACAACAUUGUUGGUAUGUAUACAAUUCAAAAAUUCAACAAGAGAAGUAUUUAACUCACCUCUCACGGAUAUCACAACCUUCUAGAUAUGAGGCAUUACUUGCAGCAACCAUCCAUUUUAUCACCUUGUGAAUUCCUCCAACUUCAUCCUUAUACCUAAUAUUGUGUUUGGCAAAUGCCUCUGCAAACGUUCCCCUUAUGUAUCGAACUUCUGAUGGAUCCACAUCAUAGAAGACUGGUAUGACUAAUUGCCCAUUUUUCUCUUUGCAUUCCAUGAUCUUCACUAAUUCAUUCAAACACCACUUCGAUUUAGCAUAAUUCUUCGAGAAAAUAACUACGGCAACUUGAGAUUCUUCGAUAACUUUCACGAUUUGUUCAGAGAUCGAAUCGCCAUGCUCUAGCGUUUCUUCGUCUAGAAAGGCCGAAAUUCCUCUGUUUGUCAAAGCUUUGUACAAGUGACUUGUGAAAUUUUUGCGAGUAUCCCCGCCACAGAAAUUUAGAAACACAUCGUAUCUCCACCGAGUCAACUGUGACGAUCUAGCUGAAGAUUCAGUUAAUUGAGUCAACUGCCACGAUCUAGCAGUAGCAGACGAUGAAGAAGAUGCCAUGGAUUCAGUUAAUUCGUUAAUUGAAGCUUCAAAUAUGUGAAAAUGGCUUAUUCUCAACCAUAGUCAACUAUAUCUAUGGCAUGUCAUAGGAAACUUCACCGAAGCUCUGUGAUGUGUACAUGAUGAACAGCUAAAAGUACAAGCAUGUGAAACUAGAAAUUAGGGGGAUUAAAACUAAUAAUUUAACUUGAUUUCAAUCUUAUGCACUCUAAUCAUAGUAUAAUACGUAUAAAGUAAACAAAUAAACAUACGUCUUUUAUAACAUAUAAUAUAUAAUGUCAUGUAGAACUGUAAAUUGUCAUAUAUCUUGACCUGUGUGUGUAUUUUUUAAAAUUAAAGUUGAAAAUUAUAAAUAUUAAUUGAGUCCAAGUUAAAAGGACAUAUUAGUUGUAAAAUAUGUUAAUUAUAUUUUUUAUAAAUAUAUAGUUUAUGAAUUGGAGCUAUCUCAUGAGUUGACAACAGUUCAUCUAAUAUUUCAUAUCUUUAUGCUAAUUAAGAGUUUAGGUAAUCUUUUACUUUUUACUUGUCGAGAAUAUUAGUAUAGAGGAUAAUAUGACCUAUUAGGAGAUUCUAGUCCAAAUUAUUGAUUGUCGAGCUCGCAAGUUGAGAACCAAAUAGAUUGCAUCGUUCAAGGUCUUGUGGAGAAAUCAGUUUGUCGAGGAGACAACUUAAAAAGCUGAUGAGGAAAUGAAAGUAUCCUUACUUCUCACCCCCCCCCCCCCCGAAUUCAGUUUUAGUCUCAGGUACUUAUUCUUCCAAAGCACCAUUUUUAUUUAACAUGUUGAGUUCAUUAGAUUUUGUAUGUAUGUUGCAUUGUUUUUUAUUGUUAGACAUUUUCUCCUCCUUUCGCACUUGGUUUGAUUUCAUCGAGGAUGAAUGUUUUUAAAGGAGAUAUUGUAACACUUCGAAAAUUAGAAAAUGAAAAAUUACAUUUUUGGGCUACUGAUUGUGAUUUCUAUAUAAGAUUUGUAGAAAGUUUCACCGGUCAUAGAUGGAUUUCGUAGGAAUAAAGUUGAGUUUGAGAAAAAUCAAAUUUCUAAAGUUAGAUCUACGAUGGAUCAGGACAAGCCAUAGAAACUUUUACAGGCUGUAGAAAGUGCCCGUAGAAAGGUUUCACUAGAAAGAAAUUAAAUAUUGAUUAGAACUUUAGACCUACAUGUCAUAGAAAGGUCUACGAAAGUGCCCGUAGAAUGAAUCCAAGCUUAGUUAUAUUUUUGGUAUUGAACUUGAAUUAUAUGGAAAAGGUCUACGAACCAUAUAAAUGAUUUCAUGGAAAGUGGGGUAAAAUCUUAGUAGUAGUAACUUGAUCUAAGGUUGACCAGUACGGUCUAUAAGUUGAAAAUCGUAGAUUACUCUGACAGUUUUUAAAUUAGGUUAUUUUAAUUUUUUUCUACCUUUUUCUAAGUGUGAAUCCUAUCGUUUUUACACCUACUUAAGGGUGAAGUAGGGUUAAUCAUCCUCAUUACUUCAUUAACAAUCCCUAAGACUUAAAGCACUGAACUAAGAGGAGAAAGGUUGGGUUUUAGAAGCGUUCAUUAAUUUUAUAGUGUUAAACUAGUUCGUUCUCAUGCCUAUAUCUCAAUUUAGUCUAUAAAACUUUAAUCUUGGAUUACAUCCUUAGUUUUGUGAUUUUUUUAUGUGAGUUAUAUUAUUGAUUUUGAUUUUUUAAUCCUUGAUCACUAGUUGUUAUAUAUGUUAUUAUAUAUUGAGGUCCAUGAGUUAUUGUUCAUGUUUAUAUUUCACACGUACCCUAGUUUAUGAAUUUUGAUUGAGAAACUUUUGAACAAGCAUUUUUUGUCAUAAAAUUGAUUUUUAAGGAGUUGAAAGUGAGUUCAAGAGGUUUUUGAGUUCAAGUUAAGGAAACUAUAUGAUUCCCAAAUAUAUAUAUAUUUCUGCAUAAAAAAAUAUUAUUUUGAGAAAAGUAAAAGAAUUUUUUUAAAAAAAAUAAAACAUGAAGCAAUUAUCUCUUUAAGAUUUCUUUUUGAGUAAUUAUUUUAACCCAAAAAGAGUAUUUUUACAUUGAGCAUAGAGUAUAACUGCUCUGGUUGGAUGAGAUGUUGUAUAAUCAAGAAACUUACAGUGAUGGUUGUCUCCCUAAUAAAGUAAAGAUUAUUUUUAUUAUAUUUAUAUAUACUGCUUCUCGAGUUAACAUCUUUUACUUUAUGAAACUUUAAAUGAUUUUAUCGCUAUUUAUAUUUUACAUUCAAUUGAAUAUUACUUUAACUUCUUCAGUUUAGAUAUUUAUUUUCCUCACCAACAUUACACACCCAUACAUUUUUACAAAUACUUAUUUUUUUAAAUUAAAAUUAUCAUUAUAUUAAAACAAAAUUUAGGAUGUGCUUUAAUUCAUAAUAAAUAUUAAAUAGUAGGAAAAAUGAAUUGCAACAUAACACAAAGUUGAUAAUUACAAAUUAAUUUUAUUUGGGGCAUCAGAGGGCGGGUAGGUUGGGUUAAAAAGUAUUAUUGUUGCUUUAUUUGAUUUAGUGAUAUCGACUAAUUUUAUUAUUGAGAAAAGGGUCUGAUCAUUUGGAGCUGAUGUGUCACUCAUUAUGAAAGCUAAGUGACGUAUAUAUACUUUUAUCAUUAUUUGAACGAUUUACAUAUACCUAACCGUUACAAAAUGAGUUUAUAUAUACCCACCAUUUAACGAGAGGAACUGAGGGACCUUCUCGAGCACAAAAUAUGUAAUUGAGAGAUAGAACUAGCCUAUUAAUUAUGAAAAAUCAUUGCUCUGAAUCAAAAUUUCACCUUCAACUUUGAAUAAUAAUCGAACUCCCCCGAUAAUCUUUUUUAUCUUUAUAAUAUAUUUCUUUUUUUCAAUAUUCAACAUAGUUUUAAAACUCUUGCAUUUUCUACCCAAACAUAUUUUGAAAAAUAAUAUUUUAUCAAAAACUAUUUUCCUACUCAACAAAAAUAAAUCUAAUAUGUUCUCAAAAGCAAACUUUAAAAAUAUAAGGUAUAUAUAAAUCUUAAUAUUAUUUUACAAAAACUAUUUCGAUAAAUUUAUAAUUUCAAUAAAUUCUUCAAAUUCUAAAUCCGUUUCUAAUAAAUAAAUUUCCCAUGAACAAGCUGUGACCCCUAGUCCCCUACACCCCGAUUUAUUUAAAAGAUUAAAUAAAUAUGACCAUUGGGAACCAGUACCAUCUGUAUAUUUUAAUACUAAUUUAUUUUUUCUACAGAGUACAAAAAGUUUAUUUAUUUUUUUUAUUUUGCUCUGUUUAUGUCUAUUUUUUAUUUAAAAAAUGCUGUCUAUUUUUUAUUUAAAAAAUGCAUUAAUAAACACAAACAAACAACACAUGCACAAUUUAUUAGCUAGUUCUAACGGCUACCUAUACAAAGUGCUUUUGUUUGUUUCCAUGGAAAUAUUUUUUUUUUAUUCAUCUGAGAUCGAUUAAUAGAUAAUUAGAGAAAAGUUAUAUAUAUAUAUAUAUAUAUAUAUAUAUAUAUAUAUAUAUAUAUAUUAAAUUUUAUGCAAGUAAUAAUAUGUUUAAUAGUUUUGUUAGAAGAUAAAUUCUUCAUGUAUAAAAUUAAACAAAAAUGCUAAAAUAUAUCGUCGAGAAAAGAUUCAUAUAUGAUAUCUGUUAAAAAUUUGACUUAUCUAUGUUGUUUUUGUUUGGGAAAAAAACUCAUUCAUAAAAUGACAUAGAUGAACGUUUUCUCAAUGUUCGAUGACAUUUAUAAAUAUUUUUUUCCUUUUUAUAAAUGUUAUAAUUAAUGAUGUGGUCUAAUAAUAAUUGACCAUGUGUUAAAAUAAUUUUGCAAAAUAAAAAAUAUUUUUAAGUUAAGAAAUAAUGACAUAGAUGAAUCUUUUCUCAAACAAUAAUAAUAUAAUAAACCAAACUUUUAACAAAUAAGAUAAAGGGUCCCUAAGAUAAAUGAGUCUUUUUUCAAAGCUCAAUAACAAUUAUUAAAUUUAUUUGAUCAUAAUGAAUAUAAUUUGGUUUAAACAUCGGACGCAUAUAAGCUCUAACCUUACAUUAUACUUUUUAAAAAAAUCAGUUAGAAUAUACAUAAAAAAUUUACUCAAAAACUAGUAAGCUAUUAUGUCCUUUUCUUUUUUUAAGCUAUGCUUGUUUCUAAAACCUUGUUUAUUUUAAUUGUUUUAUCAUAGGUCACACUGAUUUGCCAUUUUCAUAUUGUUCUUGGGACAAUAAUUCUCUAUGUUAAUUAAUAAUCAUAAUAGUAAUAACAUGACUCAAUAUAUAAUAACUUACAAAAUUAGUUUUCAAUAUUCUCAUGUGAUUAAAAAAAAUCUUCAAAGUGAUUGUUCCUAUAUAGAUACACAAGCACGAAAUUGUGUUUAAUUGGAACAAAUCUGAAUUAAAGCGUCUAAAUAACAUUUUCAGCCAAAAAAAUAAUUACUUGUAGGAAUUCUAACUAACAUUAAUUGGCAUGAAGCUAUUUUUACCAAAAUGUUGAUGAAAUUACACACAAGUUGCUUACAAGAAUCAAAAUAACUAAAUAUGGUAAUUGCGUUUUGUAUCUAAAUUAAAUAAUGGAAAUUCUGUUUUGUGCAACUAAUUAAUAUUACAAGUAUAAAAAGAAGGCUUUGAUAAGUUCUCUAGGGAAAAAAAAUCACAACUAAUUUGGUUAAUUAGCUAGAAAAUAUGGACAUAUUGUAUCUGUUGAGCAUCAUAUUAUUGAUUUCUUCCUUUGUUAUUGCAUUUAUUUUCAUCGUAGAAUGUUGCACUAAUGAUAUUGGAGAUGAUAAAAGAACACGAGGCACGUGUCGCGCUGUUACUUCACCGUCUUUUGACAAUUUGGCUGCCACCGCUGGUCAAGUUGGCGGUGGAGCCACCAAAAGUGGUGGUACAAAAGAUGUUACUAUAGUUGUACAUGAUGGCAUAAAUGGUAAGGUAAAUACUACUACUACUAGUGUUUACUCAUCAUCAUCAACUAGCUAUGUUGAGAAUAAUAAAUAUGGUAUCUGCAAAAUGGCGGUUACAUUAGAGUCAGUAAACGAUGAUAUUCGUGUUAAUGAUGGUGGUAGUGAUAAUAACGAUGCAACCGGUGGUGCUAGCCAUGCUAAAAUAAGUAAUAGUAUUAAUAGCUAAGCUUCUAUGUGUUGGGAAAGAGGGUUUGUGCGGGGGAUGAUAUCCCUACUCAUAUUAUUAUACUAUUGUUCGAUUUUAUUAUUAUUGUUAUAUACUUUGUUUCAAUUAUCGUAUUAUCAAUUCUUCAUUUGAACAGAUCGACUUUUUUAUUUGAUAUCAAUCUUAUUAUAUUAUACUAUUGUUCUUCUGUUAUCUUAUCGUUCAAGUUUAUUAUUACUUAUUAUCUACCUUACUUUAUUCACCGUAUUAUCAAUUUUUUAUUUAAAUAACUAUAAUCGAACAUAAAUCAAUAUUGUUAUUAUUAUUAUUAUUAUUAUUAUUAUAUUCAAUAUUUGAGAUUAAGGGUUGUUGAGACACUUUUGACUUCACCACAAAAUAGGGUCAAUUAAGGUAAUUGACAGCAACACAUGACAAAUUUUGGUUGCUAAACAUAUAUCAAAUAUAAUUUCACAAAUCGCGUAUAAAUUUAAAUAUUAAUUUUUUUUAAUUAUAUAUAAAUUAUAUUUUCUUAAAUACAUUUUGAAUUACAUAAAUAUUCUUUUUUUUUAAUUCAUCAUUUUGUUGUGUAAAUAUGUUCUUUGAUAAAACUAGCUUUUAGUACACAUUAUAUUUUGAUCUAAUACUUAUUUAUAUAUUGCUCAAAUUUUAUAACCGAAACAUUAAGUUACCAUCCAUUUACAAUAACUUAUAAAAAAUUAGACGGUAUAAAUUAUUUAUUUUUAUUUUUACCAACUUUUAUAAAUUCGAUUCGUCUAAAAUUAUGUCAAUCCUCUCUAUAUCGUUCAUUCUAAUUUCAUCAAAUGUCAUCGAAAUAUAGAACCUACAACUUUAUAAAUUCAUUCAGUGUUCAACUGUAACUAACUUUUACUUAUAGAUAUAUUUUUUUAUUUUUUAACUAUUAAUAUAAAAAUUGUUGUUAUGGAUUAAAUAUUAUUCUAAUAUUAAUAUUAAAUGUAGAUAAGUAUAACCACCGUAAUUUAAGAGAUUCAAAUAAAUCCAAACCAUAAUGGGCUGAAAUAAAAGCCCAAAUCACAAAGCCCAAGCCCAUCAGAAAACCCUAGUUUCAUAUCCUAUAAAUAUACCAGAUAUACUAAUAUAAAGAAAAACAAUUCAAUUUUUAAUCUUAGAUCUACUUUUUCUCUCUUCAAUUUUGCUUAUAAUUUUAUUUUAUUUUUAAAAAAUAGCAUUUACUAUGAUUUUCUCUGUUUUUGAUUUAUAACAACAGAGAAAAUACGAAAGAAAAUGCUAAAUUAAUUUAUUAUUUCGUACUUAUGGACACGCAAAUUUCAAUAUUUUUUUUUUCAUGAAUUUAUGCGUUUUCUCGUAAGUUCAACAUUUUUUUUUGUUGAUAAAUUUAAGUUUUUUUUUAUUUUUGUAUUUUGCUCAGUGAUGAUUGAUUUUGCUUUAACCACACUGAAAUAAAAAAAAAAGUUUGAUGAGGAUUUGGAUAAGACCUUUUUGGAUUUUUAGUUGAAGAUUGUUUACUCAAUUUUUUUUUAAUUUCUUUGUUUAAAGGCUUUAUGAAUCUUUUUAAUCCAAUUUAUUUUGGUGUAAAAGAUGAAAGCAUUUUACAGAGAAAAUUAAAAUUGAGUGGGGAUUUAUUUAUUUAAAUUCUUCAGCUUUUAAAUCCUUAAUUUGGUCUCAAUUUCUUUAUCUAACUUUUUUCAUGUGGACAAACUUUGGCCCUUGUCUGAGAGCAACUAAUUUUUGUUUAAAUUUUUUUUGGUUUUGAUUUGUGUAUUUUUGUUAUAAUUUAUUGGAAUCAUAGAGAAUUUUAAAUUAUCAAAGAAAUUUUAUUGUAUAAAUUGGUACCAUAUGGAUUUGAUUCGAAUGAAAUAAAUAAUUUUUUUGUAUGAAUAAUUAUGAUGUUAAUAGUUUAGUGAUUGAUGUUGUAACAAACGGAUUAUAUUUGUUGUUUUUGAAAGGCCCUCGAUGUUAUCGAAUAAUUUUUUUGAUAGACUUUUGAUUUAAGCAAAUCUUAUAAUACUAGUAGUAAGUGUAUUUUUGAUGAUUUAUUAAAGCAAGUGUAUUUUCGAUGAUGAUGAUUUAAUAAAUGAACUAUAUGGUAAAAAUGUAUAUAUUAGAUAAAUAAUCAUUUUACUUCCUUUGUUGCACCAAGAAUAAUCUAAUUUGAGAUUAUAAAGAAAUUUUUUGAAUCUUCUGCUUUUUAUUAAAAUUAUGUUAAAUAUAUAAAAUUAGUUUUUGAUCUUAUGUGCUUAAAUAUGCAAUGAUGAAAGUUGUUAAAAAAAAAAGAAAAAGAUCAAUCUUUUUGAAAUAUAAAAAAAAAGAAGAUUAUUUUUUUUGAAACGCAGAAAGUAAUAUAUUAAUUGGAGAAUUAAAUUAUAUGAUGUAAGACUCUUCAGCACCCCAUCUUACUUGCGCUCAAGACUGGACAAUUGGAGUAGGAGAUAAAUAUGUAAUUAAAAAAUAUUAGGCAUUGAAUUAUAAUUAUAUUUACUUUUCUAUUUAAUAUUUAUUUAUAUGAAUAUUUAUAAAAGAAAAAAGUUGAUGACCUUAAAAAUGAAAAAAAUUUACAAAUAUGUUUGCCAUAAUUAUUUAGGCAUUCAAUUAUAAUUAUAAUUACUUUCGUAUUUAAUAUUUAUUUAUUAUAUUAAAUAUAUAAAAAAAAUAUUUAUUUGAAUAGAAUUAAUUUUGCUAUUUAUAGUCUAAUUAUAUUCAUAUAACAUUAAAAAAAAUAAAACAUAGCUAUUUUUAUUAAUAUAUAUUAAUUUUACCAUAUUUUGAAAUUUUUCCUUGAAAUUUCUUCACCCUACCCUCCCCGGAAUGUUUGAAAUGUGAUAAAUUUCACUAUGGGAGUCCAAUAUCGCGAGUGAAAAUUGAGAUAGGUGUCUAUCAAAAGGCGAUAUGAGCUCUAAGCCAGAGAUGUUGUUCUCAAUUGAACAUAAAACUUCAAGUCCAUCAAAGGCGCUUUGGGCUUAAUAAUAUAGAUCGUAUCAAUAACUUGACUCUAAUUGAUUUUAACAAAAAGUUGGGAAGAAGUAAAAAAAACCUAUUCUAUUUUUGUUUAUUAGUUUAGUUUGUUAUUUGUUAUACUAAAGGGCUAAAUAUAUCACUGUCAUUAUCAAAUUAUUUUAAAAUAUCCCUUAUUUGAAUGGUCAUAAAUACAUUUUUUAUCUAAAAACUUUUGUGUUGUGUGUAUUAAUCUAAAGGUGUGAAUCCUCAAUGAAGAUUGGUAUUCCAGCAUUUGCUUGUCCAUAAAAUAAGUUGAAAAAGAAAUGAUAAAUAUACUCUUAAACUUCGUGAUUUAUAAGAAAAUAAUACAUUAUACAAAUAUGAAACAAAACUAAUUAAACCUAGGUUGAUUCAUAGGUGAAGGCAUCAACUUUUUUGACUUGGUAAAUGGCUUAACCUUUUGGUUUAGUCUCUAAUCUCAAUGGUAUGAUUCUAGAUAUAAUAUGAUAUGAAUUUUGUCUACUAAGUGAAAUUAAACAGUUUGUUGAUUCAAUCAAAUUUAUUUUGAUUUUAUUUGGUCAGAUCAAUGAGAUUCUCGAUAUUCAAGUUAAAUUUAUUUAGAUGUGCAUUGCAAAUUAAUUAAAUAGUCACGCAUACACGGU